UUUGCUGUUUCCUUCGAGUUGCUGCUCCAGCGUUUUGUUUUUUGCUUUUGUGCUGAAGUAUUUUUCCUGUUCUUUCAUUGUGCUUCCAUUGUUUUUGUUGGUUUCCUAUUGUGGGUUUUGUUCCAGAUUUUCCGUGCUGUUUCAUUUAGCAUCACUGCUGCAAGUUUUUCUGAGUUUUUUGUUGUCGUUUUUCUUUUCCGCUUUUUUGGUUAUCUAUAUCUGUCUCUUAACUUUUUCUUUUUAAAAUAAAAGAUGGACAUUUUUAAUCGUAGUGCACAUUUUAUUUUAACAUUGUAGACAUUAAUUUAAUAAAAAGUGAACAUUUUUUAUUACAGGAUGACAUUUUUUACAUGGUGAUCGAUUUUUAAUUGCACCACGAACAUUUGUUAAGAACGGUGAAACAAUUUUUUAUACACAGUGGAUGAUUUUUAAUACAUGGCAAAGAUUUUUUAAAUAUGUGCUGAAUAUUUAUUGGAAGACCCAACGAACUAUUUACUAUGCUUAAAUAAUUCUAGAAAAACCAUGGCAAGAAAACCACAAAAAAAAAUCACCAACACAUGAAUGUACCACCAUCUCUCAUAAAAGAUAGUGAGGCUGACACUGGGAAGCCACAUCAACCAGAACUGGGCCCUCGGCCCAUCAUUGCUAAAGAAUGCGCCACCUCUCAUAUAUGACGUUAAUGAGCGUUACAUAGGAGGUCUCAUAAAAAGUGGUCUAUUGGCUGCUUCAAGAUAAUACGCAAGCUUCUGAAGUUUAAAUUUUUAUCAAAGUGGACCCAAUACGAAAGCCCACAUGAAAGGCUUUAGGGCGAGCAUAGCCAAAACUUUUCAUUAGUAGAUCUCUAGCUUGCAUAUUUUUCUCAAAUAGUUGUUCUAGUAUUAACAGUAUGGAAUAACUACAUUCUAGAAUUUUAUAGGGAUGCCACAUGGUUUUAGUUUUUGCGUGGUCCUGGAUGCAGAUGAGCACAUCCUUAGUGUCAUUUUUAUUUGCAAAUCACCUUUGUAAAGUAUUUGAAGAAAAUAGGAUACUUGGUUCCACAACCGAAGGGGUUGAACUUGGUGGCUUCCCACACUAGUAGAAAAAGGGCAUUUAGUCCCGGUUCAUAAGGGCCUUUAGUCCCGGUUCUGGAACCGGGACUAAAGGGUCGUUACUAACGCCUCCCCCUUUAGUCCCGGUUCUUACACGAACCAGGACUAAAGGCCCUCCACGUGGCCGCUGCCUGGAGGUCCACCUUUAGUCCCGGUUGGUAACACGAACCGGUACUAAAGUAAAUUUUAUGAUUUUUCUUGAAAUUUUUUUUUGAAUUUUUUUAUUUUCUUUUUUGAUUUUCAAAUUUCUGAAUUAUUUUAACCUUCAAUCUCUAAUUACCCCUCAUCACUGCUCAAUUUAACAUCUAAUCUCUAAUCACCCCUCAUCAUUCUAAAUCAUCUAACUUCUCGGACGGUCACCCAUCCUCUCACUACUCCAGCCUGAGCACGCUUAACUUUCAGGUUCUAUUCUCCCUCGUUUCCAAGUCUGCACUUGUUGUUUUCCUGACAAUAGUAAGAUGUCAAUCCUAUUAACCCUCAGGAAUUUAGCUUGAGCAUGAAGUCACACAUUUCACUGUUUGAGUUUGAAACUAUUGUUCUAAAAAACAAUAAUUAUUUAGUAACACUAAUAUUUCUUGAAUAAGUAGUUUGACCAGAUUUGACCAAAAUUCAAAAAAACUGAAAUAAUUAUUUAGUAACACUAAUAUUUUUGAAUAAUUAGUUUGACCAUAGUUUGACCACAGUUUGACCAGAUUUGACCAAAAUUCAAAAAAACUGAAAUAAUUAUUUAGUAACACUAAUAUUCUUGAAUAAUUAUUUAGUAACACUAAUACUUCUUGAAUAAGUAGUUUGACCAUAGUUUGACCAGAUUUAACAAAAAUUAAAAAAAAGAAAUUUGAGCAUAACUUUUUUUCCUUUUAGAAUUUGAGGAUUCUAAAAAUUUGCUAACAGGUCGGCCGUCAAAAUCGGAUGCGGAUUUUCGUGCUGAACAUUUUGAUAUAUUAUACUUUUUGCAAAACAUGUCCAAAUUUAAGUUUUUAAAUUUUCCUAACUAGUAUAUGUAGUAACAUAACUACAUCUGGAAGGAUUUUAAUUUUUGAAGUUUUUAUCAUUUUCUUUUGCUUUUUACAAAACUGAAAAACCGAUCCACCGGGGUGGGGGGGCAGAGUUUGAAAAUGGGACCUUUAGUACCGGUUCGUGCCACGAACCGGUACUAAUGCCUGAAACCCCAUUAGUACCGGUUGGUGGCUCGAACCGGGACUAAAGGUCUAACCUUUAGUACCGGUUGGUGCCACGAACCGGUACUAAUGGGCAUCGCACCCUUUAGUCCCGGUUCGUGGCACCAACCGGGACUAAAGGUCCCAUUUGAACCGGGACUAAUGCCUGUACGGUGCCCUAGCCGCUCGAACCGGGACUAAUGCUCACAUUAGUCCCGGUUCGUAAUGCAACCGGGAUUAAUGCUCUUUUCUGGCCGAACCAAAGGCAUGUUUUCUACUAGUGCCAUAGGAAGAUACUGGACAAAUUAAUAUGAAAACUAGAGAACAUGGAAGGUAUGUUACACUCGUAAAAUAAGAGCGUGAAAUGUUUUUUGAAAGUACUAAUACGUUUGUGCUAGUGGCUAUCAAGUUGUUCUUGCCAAUACUCCCAAUGAAGUGGAAGGAAGAAAAUCCAUCUCGAUGGUCAAGCCACCAUUGCAAUAUUAAGACCACUGAUACCAGAAUAAUCCGACCAUUUGAGCAACAUGGAAGAUGCACAUAAUGUUGACAAUUGUUUAGGAGAUUCCUGAAUGUACAACUUCCAUCAAAGAUUCCAAAGUUUCUAUGUUGACGAGCCAACUUAACAUCUUCAUAAUUGCCAAGGUAUAUGGUGUUGUCACAACUACAAGGUGGUCGGGUGUGCACAGCAGGGAUAGAGACAUAUGAUUGUCUGCAUAUUUAAGUAUGGUUGAUGUCAUUUGUGCGUGGAGAAGAAAAUAGAUAUGAGGAAGGAAGGAAAGAUGUCAAUGGUGAGGUGGCAUGGUAAAGCAAGUGAUAUGAGUGAGGCAGUGAUCGACUGUUGCUAUCGGGUGCCGGCCAAAGGAGGUAGAAUGGGUGGAUGGGAUGCCAAGAAAAUAGUUUUAGUGAAUUUAUCUAUAAUUUUUCCUAAUAUAUUUUUCUAGUACAGACAUGGAAUGUGUGUCAUUCCAUUAUUUUGGUCAAUGCAAUAUAUAUAGGACAAAUUUUAUCUACCACCAGUGGUAGUUACCACCACUUGAAUUUUAUAUGUUAUAUGUAGUAUCUAUCAAAUCGGAGAGUAUGUACGCUUAAUAUGUAGUAUAUAAGAAUGUUUAGGUAGUAUAUAUACUAUUUUUUGGUAGUAUGUAUCUUAUUUUGAGUAUGCUCUCUUUUACGUACAAAUAUGUACGUAUUUCACAAAUAUAAGAAAAACCAUGGGCCAACUUGCAAUUUUUCAUAUAACUCACUUUGGAGUAUCUUAUAUAUAGUAUAUGAACAUACUUAAAAUGAUAAAGUAGAAUAUAUACUACCACAUGGUAGUACAUGAGACAUGUGGGGUAACUACCCCCAGGUGGUAGGAUGGAUUUUCCCCAUGCAUGACCAUUUCUCUAUAUAUGUCUACAUGUCCUUGAUGCAUCCACGUGGAAUAGCUAUCAGUUGUAGGUCAGAACUUCUACCUACAGUCAUCCCAAAUUUUUCAGACAUAUCCAAUGACUCUGGACUUGCCCCACCAGGAAGCACCCAAUCAAAGUGGUAGAGCAGGUUUGCCAAAGUGAUCUCUAAGGUUGAUGCGCCGAAUAGCAUCCCAGGACAUUGCCUUCGUCCAGCACCAAAGGGGGUGAAUUCAAAAUGUGUCCCAUUGUAAUCUAAGUUGUUGUUCUCAAACCUCUCUGGCAAAAAGGCUUCAGGGUUUUUCCAGUACUUUGGAUCCCUAGAAACUGCAAAGACAUUAAUUAAUAUAGUGGUGCCUUUAAGCAGCUCAUAACCCAUAAUUUUAAAUCCAUUCUGGCCAUCCGUGGGAUUAGUGGAGCUGGUAGGUGCAACCUAAGAACCUCCUUAAUGACCAUUCGCAUGUAGUGGAGGUUUCCAAGGUCACUAUUUUUUAUGGUUGUUCGAUCUUGACCUAAUACUUUUCUUAUCUCUAGUUGAGACUUAAAUAUUGUUUCAGGAUGACGGACGAGCUCUGACAUAGCCCAUUCCAAAAUUGUUCCUGUGGUAUCUGUGGCACCAGAGAAUAUAUCCUGCAAAUGAAAAUUAAGGUAUGUUAAAUUAGAUCAUACUUCUAUAUGUCGCACUUAUAAUGAAACAAUUUGUGAAACAAAAUAUAUCAUUUGAAAAAUUGUAUGUGGUAUUUUGAAGUGAACUAUAGGAUUUUUUACAUACUUUGAAGCCUAAAUCCCAUUACAAAUAUUUUGUGAACAUUUCGAGGCACUCAAGGCAAGUAACUUCUCAAAGUAUGAUAUCAUGUGAGGCCAUAUGCCUCCCCUCGGGUUACACUUGACAGAGAAAGAGGUGAAAGAUCACAAUUGCAAAAAUGGGACACUCAAGUUUAUGAGAAUAUGAUUUCUGAGUGGUUUGAUCAGGAUGUUUGUUUAUUCUUAUAGAAAACAUCACCACUUUAUAGUCGAUGUAGGCAUCUCUAUAGUGGCAAAAGGAAAAAAGCAAACUUAAUAAAGCAACAUAGGUUAUCUUCAUGAUCUUUCACAAAAUUCUUAGCAGCGCAUGAUUUCCUCGAUUGCUAAUGAUGUGAUGAAACUUACAAAAACCCAUUUCAUGCUAGGAAAAUAUUGUGGAAGGGCUUAUUAUUCAUGGGUUGCAUCAAAAGACAAGGGAUUCUCAAAAUUGUUUUUGGCGAGACUUAUGACACUGUAAAGUGGAUGUUCGUUCCACAACCAAUGUUCAUGGAAUCUUUCGCCUUUAUGUGAUGUCACUUGAAGGUAAAAUGUAUGCAAGGUGGGUUCUUCGGUGUGAAAAUCAAUGAUGAUCUAGAACAUUAAUUCCAAGAAUAAAAAGAUCUCCAUCAAGGGUUAUUUAUUUUCAUCAGUGUCGCUCAACAUUAUGGCGGAUAUGUUGGUUGCAAUAUUAAAAGAAAGAAGGAUUAAGGUCAGUGCCAUGGUGUUCCACCCAGGUGGGUCAUGAUAGAAUAUAUGUACUCAUUAUGAGGUUCAUACCCUUAUAUUGCUACACCAUGAAAAUGGAUAGGCAAAUAACAUGGCGUCCGUGUUAUGAGUUUCUUUGAAAAUACUUAACAGUAAAGAUUAUAAUUUUCCACAAGGGUGAAAUCCCAUAAAGCUAACGGAUAUAGUGUGUGGACAACAUCAAUGUCUAGGUGUUUGUUUUGUCAAGUAUGUUUUUUUCCUUAUAUUAUCUUGUAUUCGGAUCUUCUACAUGUGUCUUCACAAUAGUGAUUGGAAAGCAAGAGACUAUUGAAUUCAUUCACACUAUUUUUCACAUGUUUAUGAGGUCAUUUCUGAGAUAUCCAAGCAGAAUCUAGAAGAGAUCCUAUUUCAGCUCUAGCAUCUACCGGCAGAGCAAAAACUCAAAAAUACAAAUAAAUUUACCAAGAAGAUUCAUGUGUCUAGGAAAGAACUAGAGAGGUCUUAGAAGAAAUGAUUUGAAUUUAGGACUACUAUCAUUUUAAGAAAUUAUUUUUAAUUCCAAAAAGGUUACAAUUUGUGAUAUGAUCUCCUAAUGUAUAUGUACUCAUGGAGUGUGCCGCUUUCUCUUGCAAAGUGUGGGACUAUGCAUUAAAUUUGCUUCAAAUAGCCCACUCUGUUUUGAUAUAUUUUCCUUGUUUUAGAGAAUUAUUGUUUGUAUCCAGUUUUUUCUUGGAUUUCUUUGAACAAGUUUGCUAAUUUGUUCUUCAAGUAGUUUUUUUAGGAAAUAAAAUCAUUUAUAUACUUCCUUUAGCAAAUGGCCUGGAAGUAUCGUGAUGCUUAGCCAUUCUUUCUUUUGUCCGACCUUUUUAAACAUUCUGAUAAAUAUAGGAAAACGCCAGUGCCUAGGUGGAAAAGAUGGGCUUUAAAAUGUCGAAAGGGAAAAUAAAGAAAAAUAAAAGUGAAUGGAUUGAAGAGUAAAUUGAGCUAGAAAAAUAAAUAAAUAUGUGUUUUUCCUUUUUAUUUGAUGACUGAAAAUAAAUAAUCUACAAAAUAGGUACAAAUGAACUCUGAGAAGACCAGGAAUAGUAACAUAGGAUAUUUGGAACAUUUAAAAGAUCGGACAAAUCUUCCAUGGUCAAAAACCAAGCAAGUAUAUAUAUGUGUAUUUAUAACUUUAUAUUUCGACAAUUAGAGAAAUAUAUUUAUAUGUCUUGUCAGGUAGUAAUAUGGUCUGGCCAUACGUAGUGGACGGGUGUACAAUGAGCAUAUGGGAGCCAAUGAUAAGAUAUUGUAGUUGGCUACCAUGAAAUUUAUAUUUCUAACUAAGGUUUUUUUAUUCCAGUUUUUUUUGGGGGACGGGCUAGAAUACCUAUUUUCGGUAAAUCAUGGAAUAUUUUAGAUUGAAACUUUUGAAUGAAUUAUUUAACUUUAUGUUGCAUUAAAAUAUAUACUAUUUGACAUCACUUAGACGAAUACUCUCUUCUGUUCCAUUGGUCAGCACAUAUGCAUGGCCUUCUUCCCAUAGUUGCAGAAUUGUCAUAGACACCGCACGUUUACACCAGUAAUAUAGUUGUGAUAAUACAUGCAUACUUAUCCUAUUUGACACAAUUAUAGUGUUUCAAUUCAAAUUCAUUUGAAUAUUAUCAAGUGUUACCACAGUUUCUCGGCGGUCAUCAAAUUUUCCUGUAACAGGUGGAUUACCAGAAAUUCUGACCAGAAAGAAAUAAUCUUGACAUAUAUGACAUAGAUAAUGGUAACUAAAUGGUUAAUGAUUUAAGUUUGUCGGGACAAAAGUAAUCAAUCUUUCCUAUCUGGUAUCAUAUGUAUGCAUCUGUUACGAGUAGAAAAAGCUUGCUUGUUAAGAAUACUCACAAAUAAGACGGCGCAUAUGCUCUUUGUGGUUAGAGGGAAUUCCAACGAAUCAUCGUUCUGUAGCCUGAGCAGCACGUCCAGCAGGUCCUCGUCAUCGGUGCUUGAGGCCCCAUCACCAGCAGCUCGCGCGGCCUUGCGCUCCUCAAUCACGUCGGCGAUGAUGCGCUGCAUGCGGCCGUAGCUCUUCUUCAUGCGCCGCGCGCCAAAGCUGAGCCACCGUGCCAACCGUGACGACGGGAAGAGGUCGACGAGGCAGAAGCCGCCCAGCAGGGUGAGCACCACGUCCAGCUCGUGGAUGUACUCGUCCUGCUGCGUGAACCUGCCGCCGAACACCGCCUGCGACACGACGUUGUUGCUGAGCUCCAUCAUUUUCUCGCUGAUGUUGAUGCUGUUGCGGGCCGCCGCGGCGGUGGCGAUGUCAGCCAGGAGGUUGCCCACCUCCUCUGGCCGGAUGCUCUCCAUGCGCCUGACCUGCACGGAGCUGAGCAGCUCCACAAUGCAGACCUUACGCAUCUGGCGCCAGUGGUCGCCGUAGGGAGCAAAGAUGAUGCCCCUGCCGCCACAGCCGGCGAUGUCCUGCGUCGGGGUGCCCGGCCGGGUGGCAAACGUGAGGUCGUUGGUCUUCAUCACCUGGGCCACCGCCUCGGCGCUGGAGACCACCACGGCGUCCACCUCGCCUAGCUUGAGGUGCAUCAUUGGCCCAUAUCGGCGACACAGCUGCGUGAUUUUCCGGUGUGGGACGAGGCUGACUACGUGGUGGAGGCUACCCAUGAUCGGGAGAGUCCAUGGCCCUGGCGGCAGCUGGUGCUUCUGUGGCUUGUUCUUGCCGCCGGCGAGCUUGAGAAGCCAAAGGGCAAGCGGCAUACCUAGUGCUACGAAACACAAGCUGAACCACCCCUCCAUAGCAGGCAGCUUGCAUUGGCAAGUGCAGUGGUAGUGGUACUGAUAACUUACCUGUCUGGACUCUGCAUAUAUAUAUAAAUGUAUAAAAGCAUGCAUGUUCUUUUUCUGGCGAGAGAGGAGCUUUCUCUCUCCGGCUGCUAAGUGAGUAUACAGUAUGAAAGUUUGAGCCGUUUUCUCUUGUCAAUUGGUCUCGGCGAUGGGGUUAGUACAAAAGGCAUUACACGCAUCAAACUCCACUUUGUACAUUUCAAAUCAAUUUAGUUCUAAUUUUUUCCCAGUUAAAUUUCUCUAUAGAAAAAUUAAUGAGCUAAUAUGUAGGAGUACAACACAACCAAACUAUAUUUAAUGAUGCAUAUAGUGGAACUAAUUUGGGAUUGUAAAUGUUGACUUAUAACAAAGCUCUAUGACUUUAAAUAAGUUAUGGCGAAGAAAGAGAGAGCGGCGUUUGGUUCCUGGGCUUAGAUGAGCCCGGGUGUGAACAGUAAAUUCGUUAAAAUAGCAAAAAAAAAAUCCAAAAAUCUUUUUUUGUGAUGAAAGAUGUUUGAGUGCGAGAUGUCCGUGCCAAAUUUGGUGAAGUUUGGACAUUUUAGGAGCUGUCUGCAAAAAAACAAUCAGGCAUGUGAGGAAGUUUGAUGUUCUGCACUGUUCGGAGGUCGUUUUGUCUCUUUUGACAAGGCUCAUCGAAUGUCCAAACUUCACCAAAUUUAGCACGGGCAUCACGAACUCAAACAUGUUGCACAAAAAAAUUGGAAGCUAUGUGGUGAAGCUUCUGGCAAUAUUGUUCUGGUUUAUAGCACUAUGGGUCUGGUUUGGUUUGUGAUUGCAUCUUCCUUCAAAAAGCAUACAAGUUGUUUUUUCCGCCAGAUGUAUCUUUUAAUACUAAAACAUACAUGCUCUUUUUCUGGCGGCUAUGUGGCGAAGCUUCCGGCAGAGAAGGUUUCUCUUUUCUGGCUGCUAGCUGAGUAUGAACGUUUGGGCCGCUUUCUCGUUUCUGGCUGCUAGCUGAGUAUGAAAGUUUCGGCUGCUAAGAUUGCAAAUUGGUUUCCCUGGGUUAGUGCAAAAGUCAUUAGAAGCAUCGAACUCCACCUUCUCCAUUUCAAAGUAAUUGAAGUUCAUGAGCUAAUACAUACAACCAAAGUUUUAAAUAGCGCGCUAAGCCACUUCUAAAUGCUAUAGCGUGCUAUAGCGAUGCUAUAGCGCGCUAUUUAAAAUGUUUACUCAUGUAUUUGGACAAAAGACCCUUAGCGCAAGACCUUUUCUAAACGCUAUAGCGUGCUAUAGCGGUGCUAUCUCGCGCUAUUUAAAACUAUGCAUACAACACGACCAAAGUACAUUUGAUGAUGAUGGUGAAUUAUGCCUGAUAGCAAACCUAGGAAUUUAUAUAAUUUAGAGCGAAGAAAGAGGUCUAGUACUGUACACUAUUUUUGUCAUCAGCAAUCUAGCCGCCAAUAAUUUAAAUUUUGUCAUACUAUCUUUAAAUUUUGUCAUCAGCAAUCUAGCCGUCACCAAUUUAGUUCUGUACACUAAUACAUCUCGACUAGUAUAUAGUUGCAUACACUAGCCAGUUCAUGAGUCAUCAGGACUUGGAGGUGAUCACAUCACAUACAUAUACCGCGUCUCACUCCAAGCUGCGCUUGCCAACAGCUUGUAGCCUGCCAUGGAGGGCUGGUUAAGUUUGUGUUUCAUAGCACUAUGCACGCUAGUGGCCCUUUGGUUUCGCAAGCUUUCUUGUGGAAACAGAAAGCCACGGCUGCCUCCUGGGCCAUGGACUCUUCCGAUCAUCGGCAGCCUCCACCAAGUCGCCAGUGUGCUCCCGCACCGCAGGAUGAUGGACUUGUCACGUCGGUAUGGGCCGCUGAUGCACCUUAUGCUCGGCGAGGUCCCCACGGUGAUCGUCUCCAGCGCCGAGGCGGCGGCGUUGGUGAUGAAGACCAACGACCUCGCCUUCGCUGGCCGGCCGCACAGUGCGACGCUGGACAUCUUCAGCUGCGGCGGGAGUGGCAUCGUCUUCGCCCCCUACGGUGACCCAUGGCGCCAGAUGCGCAAGGUCUGCACCAUGGAGCUCCUCAGCUCCAAGCAGGUGAGGCGUAUGGACGGCAUCAGGCCAGAGCAGGUGGGCAACCUUCUCCGUUAUGUCGUGGCCGCAGCAUCCACGGGCGCCGCCGUCGAUGUCAGUGAGAAGGUGAUGGCGCUCAGCAACGACGUGGUGUCGCGGGCGGUGUUCGGCGGCAAGUUCCCGCAGCAGGAAGAGUACCUAUGAGAGCUGGAUGAGGCGUUCGUGCUGCUAGGUGGUUUCUGCCUCGUCGACCUCUUCCCGUCAUCGCGGCUGGUGCGGUGGCUGAGCAACGGUGAGCGCCACAUGAGGAGGAGCUAUGGCCACAUCCAACGUAUCAACGCCGACGUCAUCGAGGGGCGCAAGGCGGCGCGAGCUGCCGCACAGGACGAUGAUGACUUGCUGGACGUGCUACUCAGGCUGCAGGAGAAGGACGCGUUCACAUUCCCUAUGACCACGGAGAGUAUAGGCGCCGUCUUAUUUGUGAGUAAUUUUCUUUAUGCUUCUUAUUAAUCUACCUAUGUUAUAUCAUAUGUGCAAAGUUUUAAUGCAAAAAGAAAACCCCUAGAUUCAUCAUUUCAUAAAUGUGUUAGUCUCAACUUGUUUCAUAGAUUUACAAACGUAAAUUGUUGUAUCUGAAUUGAUUAUUGUUUCGUACUACUACAUAUGCAGAAACAAUAUAUAAACAUACAUACCACAACAAUACUUUUCAGGACAUAUUUGCAGGUGCCACUCAGACCACGGGAGUUGCCUUGGAGUGGGCGAUGGCUGAGCUCGUCCGUCAUCCCGAAACCAUGGCCAAAGCACAGCUUGAGAUCCCAGAGGUGCUAGGUCAAGGUCGAGCUGUGUUUACUAAUAGUGACCUCGCCGGACUCCAUUACAUGCGGAUGAUCAUUAAGGAGGUUCUUAGAUUGCAUCCACCAGGUCCUUUGAUCCCCCGCAGGGCCAGGGAAGACCGUAAAGUUAUGGGUUUUGACAUGCUUGAAGGCACCAAUGUAUACAUUAAUGCGUUUGCAGUUUCUAGGGAUCCAAAUUGUUGGGAAAGUCCUGAAGAGUUUAAGCCUGAAAGGUUUGAGAACAAUAACAUGGAUUACAAUGGGACAUACUUUGAAUUCACCCCCUUCGGUGCUGGUCGGAGGCAGUGCCCUGGCAUACUUUUUGGCACGUCAACCAUGGAGAUCGCUUUGGCAAAUCUUCUCUACCACUUCGACUGGGUGCUUCCUGACAAGGCAAAUCCAGAAUUUUUGGACAUGACCGAGAAAUACGGGAUCAUCGUAGGAAGAAAAUAUGACCUACAAUUGAUACCGAUUUCCCAUGGAGGUUUCCAUGCCAUAUAAUCAUAGAUGGAUGUGCAUUGCCUCAUGAUAUGUCUGUAUUUAGUUUGAUGUAUAGCAAUAUAUGUUGUUGCACCAAUAAGAAUAAAAGAACCUCGUUGAACCUGCAAUAUAUUAUGGUGGAUGACACAGACUAUUGAUUGUACCAAAACACAAAGUUUGGACUUUUUAAAUUGCCCCAGUGAAGUGUUGUAAGGACCAUAUUUCAAUCUACUUUCGUGGUCUGAUGUCCUCCAUGUAAAAUUGAAGGAAUGGCCUAUAAUUUCUUUCUUUUUUUGCUUUCUUUUGUGUCCCUUUGGAAGAUCUACUGUCAGGUUUAUCGAUUGAAAUCUAGAUCCUUUGGACCGACUUUGCUAACAGUUAUGGCCUCGCCCAAGGGCUCAUCGGUUACUGUCUUGGCAUGCUUUAGGCCAAAUGUAGAUUGAAUUAUUAUUUUUAAUAUUCUCUAAGAUCUUGCACUAUUGACACACUGGUUUGGUUUUCCGACCAACUUUCCUCAUAAAAUAAACUGUUUCCUUAUUAUGAAUCAAAAGGAAGUGUGCGCUCUCUUGAAUAAAAAAAAGAACAAGCAAUUAUUUCGCUCAACUGAUCUUCUGAACGGGCUACCAUAAUAUCUUGCCAGAUUUUUUUGGCCCAGUGUCGUAUCCACUAUAUUGAGACUCUAUUACUCUAUGGUCUAUAGACCAUAAGCAAUCACUCUCUCUUUUCAGUCCGCUCUCGCCUUCAACUGUCACUGAUUUGUUGUCAAAAUUCGCUAUCGUCGAACUCUGAGUAAUGAUCGCCAUGGUGGCAACUAAUAUACCGUGUUAUCUUCCUAACUCCCAGCUCACUCAGUGUGUCGCAUAGCGACACGUCUUAAGUUACAUAGCGACUUAAUUGCAUGGCCCCAACAAUUGUUUUCUCUCUAACCUUUCUCGUUUAAUUGCACACCAACUCGAUAGUGCUGCUUAAUGGAUCAAGUGCGUACCGCUAACAAAUAGUAUGGUACCACUUAUUAUAUUUAAAUUCUGCCUCUGUUUGUAUAGAUCCAUGGCAGAAUGUGAUUGCUAGGUUUGGUUGGCAGACAUGGAACAACAUAUGUAUGGCCGUAACUUUAAGGAGGCGCAUACAAAUAUUUAUGUUCUUGUGUCAAAGAGCACCUUUGUUUCUCAACGAAUUUAUUAAAUCAUAUAAUUAGGCCGUCCGUCUGUAUGUAGUUCCAGAAGAGUGGGUGCAAUUGGCAUGUAGAGACGUGGGACAUGUCCAUCUUAAUACUAUACUAUUGAGUUGUGACUGCCUGUGUGACGUUUUCAUCCAUAUAUCUUAAUAAUGCACUAUAGUUGAAUGUGACUCCGCCGGCUGCUAACAAAGCAACAAACAUGAAUGCAUCCGUGCAAUUGGCGAGCAGGUUGUCUUGAACUUGGGUGCAUGCCACCAGCACGCGGUUGCUAAUAUGCAUCAUGCAUGCAUCUAGUGCGUGUCACACAGAAGGAGUGCUCGUAAAAGAUAUAUGCAUUGUCACGCCCACGAUGGAUCUGUGCCUUUCUGGUACUCUAGCCUUGCAAUGUUUUGGUUGGAGCGGCUGCUAUGAAACGUCAAUGCAAUCUACGCAAUGUUGUCUUUGGCCCACUAUCAAUCAUAUGAAGAUAACAAUAAAACAUGUGGUCAGAAAACAUUGUCAUACUCAGACCAUGCUGAAAAGCAUACAUAUUCCAUUAAACUAUACUAAUAAAUCAGACAAAAAACUAAUAAAUCAGACAAACAUCGAUUAGUAAAUGAAUUACAAGACCUGAAUAGCAAAAGAAAGGUGCAUUUUAGUUAUGAAUGCUAGGUACCUGUAAUUUUUUGUUUUCAUUGAUUUUUUAUUUUGUCGCAUACUCUAUCAGGUUUAGAGAAAUAUGAUCUUUUGGUAUUGAGCCGACUCUGGAAGUCAAUUCACCUUGUUUUACCUCCUAAGUAUAUGUAUAAUGUUCGGUCAUAUAUAUUGUUAUUUAGGGCUUACUACGGCCCAAGACACGAGUGUUUUUCUAUUGUUUUUCCUCCCAUCCUCACCAUGAUCUCGACUACUGGUUGCCUGGUACUUGUCCUUGAUUUCUCUUCUUUUUAUCCACUUAGAUCCGUGGCCAUCUGAAUAGGAUUUAGCUCACCCUCGCGAGACCAAAUUUAGAUUCAUGGCGCAAUGUGAUUGCUAGCUUCGUUUGGCAGAGAUGGAGAAUUAUCCUGUCAACUUAAAGGAGGCCCUUACAAAUACUACAUGUUCUUCUUGUAUCUGAACGCAACUACAUUUCCAAAGGUAGCAACACAUUUAAAAACUCACAUACAAUUAAUUAGCACGGUACAAAGUGUGCGGGCACGUAGGGAGGUGAGACAUGUCUAUCUAAUCUAAUGGUAAUGUGUUGACGUCCGACUGUCCUGUGACGUUUCCGUCCAUAUUAUCCUCUAAUAAUACAUUGUAGUUGAAGGUGACUCCUCUCGGCUGCUAAAAAUGGAGUAUGAAUGCACGCAUGGAUCUUGAACUUGUUAGACUAAGUAUAUAUUAGAUAUACGUGUUGUAACACAACUUGUAUUUGUACGGUUCCCUCUUAUAAAUAUAUGACAGCCGUACCCACCAAGGGUAUCGAGCAUUGUUCCAAACCCUAAUACGUUUAACAUGGUAUCAGACGACGCGUUCGAUCCGCGUCACGCUUCCGCCGCCUCUGCUGCCGUCGCGCCGGCCCCCGCCGCCGCGCCGCCUCUCCCCACUCUGGCGAUGGAGUCGCCGUUCCUGGUGUCGCCUCCACUUGCCUGGGCCCGAUCUACUGCGUCGGGAUCACAACCUCCCGUGCCACAGCGAUCGCCUGCCAUGCUGCCGCCGCCCCGGUCGCCUGCUGCGCUUCCGAUCGCGGCCACCCCGAUCCAGUCGCAGGACGCGCCUCCACCACCGGCCUCCUACGGCGCCAAUGGGCAGCCAGCCUACGGUGGUCCUCCAGCCCCGGCCCCGUACCACGAUGCGCCGCUGGCCUCGGGGCCCUAUGGCUCUCCCAUCCAGGCGCCGUACGGCGGCCCGUACCCGGCGCCCUACCUCGCGCCGUCUGCUGCGUCGUAUGCGCCGUAUGCUACUCCUGCCCCGACGUCCUACGCCGCUGCCCAGAUGUAUGCCGCUCCUCCUGCGCUCCCGUAUGGUGCGCACUCCUCGGCGGCUUAUGGCCAUCAUCAACAACCAUCGGCCGAUGCACUAAUCCCAUAUAGUGCUGUCCUGCCGCCUGGUCCGCCGCCUGAUCUGCCGCUCUCCGCGCCGAUGGCCGAACCAGGGCCUUUUCACUUCGCCCAUCUAGUGACGGUGAAGCUUUCUGCUGAUAACUAUCUCCUGUGGCGCGCUCAAGUGUUGCCGCUGAUGCGUAGCCACUACCUUGAAAGAUAUGUUGAUGGCUCCCUGCCGUGCCCUCCGGCUAUGGUUCCGGUACCCUCGUCCCAUGGUGGCUCUGUCAUGGUCCCCAACCCUGCUCAUCGUCGGUGGACUGCUCAAGAUCAAGCCAUCCUGGGUGCUAUUCAGUCAUCGCUCACUCCAUCCGUGGCUGGCAUGGUCGUCUUUGCCGCCACGUCGAGGGAUGCAUGGGCCACGCUCGACUCCAGCUUUUCCUCGCAAUCGCUGGCCCGUUCCUCUGCCAUUCGUAACCAGCUGGGUGAGGUCAAGAAAAAUGACCUCUCCGUCACGGCCUUCUUCAACAAGGUCAAAAGUUUGGCUGAUACACUGUCGUCUAUUGGGAAGCCUCUUCGUGAUGAGGAGUUUACUUCGUUCAUUCUCAAUGGGCUUGAUGAGGACUAUGAUUCUCUCGUUGAAAACAUUAAUGGACGUGACACACCGAUGCCGCCUCGCGAUCUCUAUGCACGCCUUCUCAACACCGAACAGAGGCUCGCUGCUCGCCGCUCCGUUGGCGUCUACACGGAGGGCCCUUCUGCGAACGCUGCUCUCCGCGGGGGCGCCCGCGGUGCCAAGCAGAAGGCGCCGCCGACCUCAGGCAACCAGCCCCGUCCGCCCGCUCCACCUCCGACGGCUGGCCGCAGGCGGCUCCACUGCGAGGCAUGUGGUGGUGGGGUUGAGUGUCAACUCUGCGGCAUCGAGGGGCACUUGGCGUCUCGCUGCCAUCGUCGCUUUAAACGAGAUUUUCUUGGCAUUGGGAACAAUGGGAAGGGCAAUGACAAGCAAGCUGCUCUCGCUUCACCGGAUCCCGGGUUCACUCCUUCAUACUCGGUGGAUCCUGCCUGGUACAUGGAUACGGGCGCUACGGACCAUUUGACGAGUCAGCUUGACAAGCUGGCCACUCGCCAGCCCUACACUGGUCACGAUCAGGUCCGCACGGCCAAUGGAUCAGGUAUGCCCAUCUCACAUGUUGGUCAGGCAUCUCUUCUUUCACGUACCACUAAAACCUUGCAUCUGCUUGAUGUCCUUCGUGUUCCCUCAGUCACACGUAGUUUACUCUCGGUUCCUAAAUUAACUCGUGACAACAAUGUGUUUGUUGAGUUUCACCCUUUCCAUUUUUUUGUUAAGGACCGGGACACGAGGGACGUUCUUCUUAGUGGUCGAGCUCGCGACGGCUUAUACGCACUUGAUGUGCCACGAGUCUCUCAAGUUUUCAGUGGUGUUCGGGUGUCGUCGUCACAGUGGCACUCUCGCCUUGGCCACCCCGCUACUCCCAUUGUGCGCCAUGUGCUUCAUCGCCAUCAUCUUCCUGUUGAGUCGAGUAAUAAGGAGUUUCUAGUGUGUGAUGCUUGUCAACAAGGCAAGAGUCAUCAGUUGCCUUUUUCUGUAUCAAGUCGUGUUGUCAUGGCUCCUCUUGAGCUUGUGUUUUCAGACGUGUGGGGCUAUGCCCAAACUUCUGUUAGUGGUCACAACUAUUAUGUCAGUUUCAUCGAUGCUUUCAGUCGCUUUACUUGGAUUUAUCUUAUUAAGCGCAAAUCUGAUGUGUUUCAUGUCUUUAUGCAAUUUCAAGCACAUGUUGAACGAUUGCUUAAGCACAAAAUUAUCCAUGUUCAGUCAGACUGGGGGGUGAGUAUCGUAACCUUAACACCUUCUUCCAGAAGCUUGGCAUCUCACACCAUGUGUCUUGUCCUCAUACACAUCAGCAGAACGGCGCAGCUGAGCGCAAACACCGUCACAUAGUUGAAACUGGCCUGACACUUCUUGCACAUGCCUCUGUCCCGUUUCGGUCCUGGAGCGAUGCUUUUGUUACUGCCUGUUUUUUGAUAAACAGGAUUCCCACACGACGCCUUCACAUGAAGUCUCCACUCGAAGUGUUGCUUAAUGAAACUCCAGAUUACUCCCUCCUCAAAGUGUUCGGCUGUGCGUGUUGGCCGCAUCUUCGUCCGUACAAUAAGCAUAAACUUGAGUAUCGAUCUAAACAAUGUGUGUUUCUUGGGUACAGUCCUCUCCACAAAGGUUACAAGUGUCUUCACAUCCCGUCAAAUCGUGUUUACAUUUCUCGUGACGUUGUGUUCGAUGAGACUGUCUUCCCGUUUUCCACGCUCACAUCACCCACUGAUACUCCCGUCACUGAGUUGCACUCUUUUCCAGUUUUGCCUGAUCAAUUUGUGGAUGCUGCAUAUUCUCCUCUGUUGGUGCCUAACCAUGGUGCAGGGACUGGACGAGGCGCUCGACUUGAGCUUCUGGAUGAUGAUAUAGCCACAACUGCGCCAGUUGCUGCCACGCCGGAUGAGGCGCUCGAGGAGACUGCCCCCGCCACUACCCCGCUUGACCCCGACGUCGAUCACGCGUGCAUGACCCAUGCACGAGGAUCCGACAGGGUGACCAAGUCGCCGGGGCCAGCGGCCUCGCUGUCGCCUGGGCCGGCCGAACCUGCGGAGCUGUCGGCCGGGCCGGCUGGACCCGCGGCGCUCUCCCCUGAGCCGAAGGCCUCGCAGGUCACCGAGUCUUCGUCGCCUGGUCCGUCGACGCCGAUCACGCCCGGUCUGUCUUCGCCGACCCUGACCGUGCCACCGGAUGCGCCUGUUGACUCGCCCGCCGGUGCGUCCUCCUCGCCGCUGAUGGAUAGUGGCUCCUCUGGUAUGGCAGCUCCAGCGCCACCUCCGCCUGUCGUCCUGCGUCCCCAUACUCGCAGCAAAAGUGGCAUCUUCCAACCGAAGAAGCGCACUGACGGCACUGUUGCGUGGCUUGCGGCCUGUGUGGCACAUGCUGAGGCUGACCCUACGACUGAACCACGACAUUUUCGAGCGGCGCUUGGCAUCCCGCAUUGGCGUGCUGCAAUGUAGCAGGAGAUUCAUGCCCUUCAAAGAAACAACACUUGGCGUCUUGUUCCACCUCCAUCUGGUGUUAAUAUCAUUGACUCUAAAUGGGUAUUCAAGGUGAAGAAACAUGCUGAUGGCUCCAUUGAGAGGUACAAGGCACGCCUGGUUGCCAAGGGGUUCAAACAACGGUAUGGCAUUGAUUAUGAAGACACAUUCAGUCCUGUUAUUAAACCAACUACGAUUCGUGUUCUUCUCUCUUUGGCUGUUACUCGCGGAUGGUCGCUUCGACAGCUUGAUGUUCAGAAUGCUUUUCUCCAUGGAGUUCUGGAAGAAGAGGUUUAUAUGCGUCAGCCGCCAGGUUUUGUUGACCCUGCUCAGCCACAUCAUUUAUGUCGUCUUGUCAAAGCUCUCUACGGUUUGAAGUAGGCCCCGCGUGCAUGGCAUGCCCGUCUUGGCGCUGCUCUUCGUGCGCAUGGGUUUGUUCCUUCUACAGCAGACACGUCUCUGUUUAUUCUACAGCGACCUGAGGUGACUAUGUACAUUCUGGUAUAUGUUGAUGACAUCAUCCUUGUCAGUUCGUCUGCUUCUGCUACAGACCGGCUUGUGUCCUCUCUUGGUGCUGAGUUUGCUGUUAAGGAUCUUGGGAGACUGCAUUAUUUUCUGGGCCUAGAGGUUCUUCAUUCUGAUGGUGGCUUGAUUCUUACUCAGAAGAAGUACUCUCAGGAUCUCCUGCGUCGUGCCGGUAUGUUGCAGUGCAAGUCUGCUACAACUCCCAUGUCUGCUACAGACAAACUGAUAGCUCUUGCUGGUGACUUGCUUGCUCCUGAGGAUGCCACAGAGUACCGUAGCAUUGUGGGUGGACUGCAGUACUUGCUCAUUACUCGACCAGACAUAUCAUUUGCAGUUAACUGUGUGUGCCAGUAUCUUCAUGCACCACGUGAUUCUCACUGGUCAGCUGUUAAGCGCAUCUUGCGCUAUGUUCGUCACACUGGUUCAUAUGGUCUCCAUCUUCAGCCUGCGCGUUCUGGACUGAUCUCAGCAUUCUCUGAUGCCGACUGGGCUGGUUGUCCUGAUGAUCGGCGAUCCACGGGGGGACAUGCUGUGUUCUUUGGGCCUAACUUGAUCGCCUGGCAAGCUCGCAAGCAAGCUAUGGUGUCUCGGAGUAGUACCGAAGCUGAGUACAAAGCUGUUGCUAAUGCCACAGCUGAGAUCAUGUGGGUGCAGUCAUUGCUUCGAGAGUUGAAGGUCUCCCCAACUCAGCCGCCUGUUCUUUGGUGUGAUAACGUCAGUGCAACAUAUCUUUCAUCCAAUCCAGUAUUUCAUGCCCGAACGAAGCACAUCGAAGUUGACUAUCAUUUUGUGAGGGAACGUGUUGCUCAGAAGCUUCUUCAGAUUAAGUUUGUUUCUUCGAAGGAUCAGCUUGCUGAUAUUUUCACUAAAUCCUUGCCCUUGCCUUCUUUUGAAGGAUGUCGUCGCAAUCUUAACCUUCUGAGUGUUUCAGGACAUAGUUAAGAUUGAGGGAGGGUGUUAGACUAAGUAUAUAUUAGAUAUACGUGUUGUAACACAACUUGUAUUUGUACGGUUCCCUCUUAUAAAUAUAUGACAGCCGUACCCACCAAGGGUAUCGAGCAUUGUUCCAAACCCUAAUACGUUUAACAGAACUAGUGGGGCAGAACAUAAAGGCGUCAUGGCCUGUAUACUAAAAAUGAUUCAACCGGCUGCUAACAUUCCCAGUGAAGAGCAGAUCUUAUAGUCGAUCUAGUGGACGUCGCACCGAAUUCCCAGUACGCACAAGAUCGAUAUACCGGAUUCCUCCGGCUGCUACUUGACUGUGAGAAACGUGGAUGCAUGCAUGCGUUGAGUGGUCACAGUUACGUAAAGAUAGGCCUGAUUGUCACACUCACGAUGGUAUGUGCCUUAUACUGUUCCAGCUGGUGCGGCUGCUAUGAAAAGUGGAUGCAAUCUAGACGAUGUUGUCUUUGACAAAGUAUCAUUCAUAUAUAUAAGGAUAACAAUAACACAUGUGCCAAGAGAAGCAGUGCACAAAGUACACCGCAUAGAUGUCCUUUUCUUUGUAGCUUGUUUGCGAUCUCGUAAGCACCACACCUCCAAACGAAAAGAAACACACCUACUCGGACUAUACUGAGAAACUGGCACAUGUUGCAUUAGGCUGAUAAACCAGACAAAAGAACGGUUACCAAACGAAUUACAAGACCCAGAAAAUUCUCUACUAAACGAUAGAUGAAGUAAUUUCCACAAACACAACCAUGGCAGACAUGCAAAAUAGGAACCAGUACCAAAUUACACGCACAACGGCUUCAUCUUAGAGAAAACUAAAACUUUUGAAUUCCUGCUCCAAUAGUUUUGUAGGAGACAAAAUCUGCUAAAUCGAGGGUGAAGAAAAGCCCCGUCAUGGUUACGCCAUGUCAAAGUUUUCCUCUUUCCAUCCUUUUCUCUACACGCAAACCGGUCGAAUGGCUGAGCCAGACCAGCCUAAAUGUCACCGACCCGUCCAUGCACCCGCUCGCAAAUGGCUUAAGCUGCACCAGGUCGCACCUUCACCUGACUCGUGCACCACCAAUAGUUGCCCUCAUAUGCAUACGCGUAGGGGUAAGUAUUUGAAGGAGGCGGCGACACCUAUGGAGAAAAUGAACACACAUAAAGCAUCUCCAAUACAAGAUUGAAAAAUUAGUAGAGGUGCAAAGAAAAUGCUCUUUACGACAUUUUGACAUAAAAACGGUGCUCCAACAGCUGUCCCUAAAAUACACCCUCUUGUGCUGCAAAUAUACAACAACAUGCGCAAGUCUCGCAAAACAAAAACCCAGCUGCGUGCAGCCAAACCACCAUCCGGAACAUUCCCUAAGGUGAACACGCAGAAAUGCCUCCCCUCCCACUUUGCUGCUGCUACCAAAUCCGUUCGAAUCCGGCCGCUUCUGGCCAAGGACGCCACCACUGUACCGCCGUGAAGUCAGAUCCACCGCGCCCUCCAUCGCUCGGACUGCCGCACCACCGCAACUACUGAAUCGCAACGAGCCGUCGCACCGGCCGAUACAAAUCACCGGUCCUACCGAUACAAGAUCCAUGAGUGACUGCUAUAAGAUCCAUGAAACUUCAAUGCUAUGAAACGUCGCUGCAAUCUGUGGGCCGUUGUCUUUGACCAAGGAUAAAUGUUCCUGAAGGUACCUCAUGUGUGUGCUUGUCUUUUUAUUUAGCAAAAAAUGUUUCAUCUUCAUCUUCAGCAAAUAAAAACUCUUGAAUUCCCGCCCCAUCUGGAAUAGGGCACAAAGUUUAUUCAACACACCAUGAACGAAAAUCCCUACAAUGGUUUAGUGGACCACAUGAUCCUGAAAACCUGAUCAACAGACAAGGACAACUUAAGGAGAAGGAGAACUAGUAUUUCGCAAGGCGCUGGUGUUGUUGCCAUAGUCAAGAAAAAAAACAAAGACCUCAAAGAAAAGCUAUAAUAUUUGCAUCUCCCAACCUCACGACAUAGUAGAGGCGAUGGAUCACAGGUAAAAACAGUUAAGAUAUUGGACCGGGCAGCUAGGGUUUGGUAGGGGGAGUUGCCGUCAAGCUAUGAUACUUAAUAACAUGGCAUAACGAUGGUAAUGAAUGCAUGCCCUAAUUUAUUAGUGUUAGCUAUCUAGAGUACGAUGGUAAUGAAUGCAUGCCCUAAUUUAUUAGUGUUAGCUAUCUAGAGUUUUUUUGUACUCCCUGGGUCUCCGAUGGUGGAGCAGGCACAUGUGACUAUCUAUCCUUCCUCCGCAGGAAGCGGCAGCAAGCACAACACACAGUUCAAUCACGGAGUAGAAUAGCAGCAUUUUCUUUGUACUCAUUCUCCAGUUUAUAAGGCCCACAUGUACUGAACAAUCAUCAAUUUGACCAACAUAAUGCUAGUAUUAUAUCACAAGAAAAAUAUUCCAUAGAAAACUUCUAAAGAUAUACCAUUUAUGAUAUACAUUUGGUGUUACUUUGAUUAAAUGAUUAAUUUAGGGAUACACUUGGGCCUUAUAAAUCGAAAGAGGGACUAUCUAGUAUAAUUCGCCCGGCUGCUAAUACGCAUCAUGCAUUCAUCUUAAACUCGAUGUAGUAUAAUCGAAAAGUGAUGUACAAGGGAUUCUUGGCCCUACGCACAAGAGACCUGCAUGCAUGAUGCAUGCCUGAGAGAUCACAACAAUUGGCAUGAGUGUUUUGCUGACUAUACAUUGUCACGCCAAUUGCAUGCGUUGAGCUAGCUUUAUACUGUUCCUGGUGCGGCUGCUAUGAGAUGCAAUCUUGGGGCUGCCAUGGUCUUUGACCAAGGAUCCGUCCUAUGAAGAUAAAUAUAACACAUGCGACAAGAAAUACAUUCCUCAAAGUAACUUUGAUUUAACUUUGGUAGGUCCAUCAUUUUUCUUUGUACAUUCUACACAAAUUAAAAUAGUUUGAAUUUUUUUACAUUCUCUAUUAAGUUUAAAUUAGUGUGAUAUUUUGGAUUAUGACACGAGUUGAAUGUAAAUUUGGCAACUAGUUUUUGUCUAUUAAGUACAUGUAUCACGAACAACUGCACCCAGAAAGGGCUGGAGUUUUCUGAUCUGAGGUACAUCUGAACCGCCAAAAAAAAGAUAUACUUUCAAGUUUCAAAAUAAAUGAACACAAAAGAUUCAUGUAUAUAGAGGAUGGUUAAAAGUAUGUGGAUGUAAAUUCUGAACAUAAACAUGACAAUACUAUGUGACAUGUAAAAAACGGACAAAAUGGCUAAGGAACAGUGCAAGUCACAAGUAUAGCAAUCUAAAAUAGAUUUCUCCACGCUGGAAAUACACGAUUUUAUGCCCAUCAAUUGGGUGGGUCUAAAGGCACUACCGGAUAAUCAACCUGAAGGUAGGUAGAUUAGUAGUGCAUGCGGUCGUCUUUAUAGUUCGGCCGGCCGGCUGCUAACGAUGAGAAAUAUGCAUGGACCUGCAAUCGCUUGGACAUUAUUUAAAGGCCUCACGCACACAUUCUCCUUCCUCCCCAAAGAAAGCUAUCUAUAGCCCAAGCUGCUAACUCUUGAAAACAAAGAAGCAACGGUUAAUUUCCAUGGCGUCCGGCAAUGCUGCUACUCCUGCGUUCAGCUACGAGCCCUCACCAUGGAUCGACUUCUUUGCUGGAUAUGAGCCACCGCUGCUACAGGUAUAAUAAAAGCUAACUAUUUAUGGCACAAAAUGUCACCAUGCACGAAGGUAUUUAUUUGUAACUAUUUUAUGCAUUUUUGUACUAGUAUCUACUACCCGGCCUAUGCUGGGCCGGCCCAAGAGGUGCCAAAAUGUACACCAUGCACCCACUACUUGCAGGCCCAAGUAGGAACACAUUUCUAAUUACCAUCCGUGCUCCUCUAGAGAUCCAUGUCAACCGGUUGCUUAUCGUGUGUACUUCACUAGUCGACACUUCUUAUAGUAUCUGAAUAUGUCUAUAGACUUUAUAUUUCACAUACCCAGCGGUACAGAUUUGUCAUAUUCAGAUAUCUACUUUGUAUAUCAUCAACAACACUCAUAGUCAUAAGUAAAUCGUCUAGUGUAACUCCAUGCUUGAGUGGAAGCAAUUUGAAACCACAUGCAUGCUUUUGAAAUUAAAUAUGCUGGCCACGACCGACACCCUUAGAAGAUACAUGUGAAUAGCCUUUGGUUGGCACAUGUUGGAAAGUUGGACUCAGUGAAAGGAUAUAUGGUUAUUUUAUACAAUCAUGUACUUUUGGUCCAUUUUGUUUCACUGGAGAUACGAGUUGUUAUAUUUUUUCAACUAUUUUUGGUUUUGGCGACAUUUUCUUUACCUAGCUCACCCUUGUCCCUUUUGGUUAAUUAAAAAUGUUCAAUUCUUGCAUUGCAGAAAUCCAAGCAGUGGAUGACGCUUAGGGCAAAAAAACUGAAGGAAGACAUAUGUAUGUUGUUUAAAACCAGCAAUGACAUAGUGGUAAAAAUGUCCUUAGUGGAUACACUACAACAUCUCGGAAUUGAUCACCACUUUGAAGACCAGAUUGACACCGCUAUGAGGCAAAUCCUGAAGAGUGAAUUUAGUAAUUACAACCUCUAUGAAGUUGCCCUUCGGUUUCGCUUGCUGAGGGAACAUGGACACUGGGUAUCUCCAGGUAUAUAUAUUCCUAACAAUUUUUUCUUAUUAUACAUAGUUGGUUACGAAAAAUUAUGAAAGAAAAAUCAUGAUGUGCAAAUUUUUAACUGGCUAAGAAAUUGAGUUAUCAAGAUUAGAUUGGUAACCUUAUUUGCAAAAUAUUUCAUAAUGUGGACGACAUGUCUACAACAAUAGAAGCUCCAUUGACAAUGUGGUCACGAGAACACCAACAUUUAUUUAUCGAUUUACAGAUGUUUUCAAUCGAUUCAAAAGUGAAGAUGGAAGCUUCGUCAAGGAUAUAACAAAUGAACCCAGGACACUAUUAUGUCUAUACAAUGCAUCUCAUCUUCUAAUUCAUGGUGAGCCAGCACUUGAAGAAGCCAUAGCUUUUGCAAGGCAUCAUCUUGAAUCAUGUAGUGGUACUUUAAAGACCCCACUAGCUCAACAAGUCCAACGUGCCCUUCACAUACCAAUGCCAAGGACAAAUAAGAGGGUGGAAAUGCUACAUUAUAUCCAAGAGUAUGAACAAGAGGAGCAUAACCCGAUGCUACUGGAGCUUGCCAAAUUGGAUUUCAACCUUCAGCAAAAUGUCCACUCAAAGGAGCUCAAAGUUAUUACCAGGUAUGUUAUUUAUCUUUCUUAUAUAAACAGAAUAUAUAACCCAGUAAUGAUUCACGGGUGGUUGCCCUCACAUACUACAUCUUCAAACAAACAAAAAACCAAAAGUCUAGUUAAUACUACAUUUCUAGUACUUAACAUCAUUGAAAUUAAGAGUUUACGUGGUUGCCUUUUUUGAUUAAUAUGAGAAUGCAUAUUCAUUAAUGGUUCGUGAUGCUUCAGUGUUUCAUAGUUUCUGUGCAUUGUAGGAUAAUUACAUACAUGGUGUAGUGAGAAUGCACAUGCUUUUAAUAAUAAUUGACCAUUGUUCUUUUAUCUCUUAAUGGGGCUAGCGAUGUUAUAUUCUACAUGGACUAUAUAUGUACUAGUUCAGAUAACAUUGCUUAAGUAAUUCACAGGUGGUGGAAACAUUUUUUUGGAUAUAUCGAGCUAAGCUUUAUCCGCGAUCGUGUGGUGGAGGGUUAUACAUGGGCCUCCGUGUUGUACUAUGAUACAAAAUUUGAGCUCCCUCGAAGUAUGAUCACAAAGAUGAUUGUACUAAUUACCACAUUAGAUGACAUAUAUGACAACCAUGCCACCCUAGAGGACAGUUGGAAGCUACAUGAAGCAAUACAAAGGUGGGAUUGAUUUAGCUCUACAUUUUAUCUCUCGAAUUGUCAGUGCUUCUAAUGUAUAUUCCACUAAGAUAGCGAUUCCAUAUCAUAUCAGUACGUCCUUAGAAUCACUGGCAAUCACGGUCAGUAAAUAUGUGCGCAACGUGAUUUUUCCAUGACGUUUAAAGUGAUAAAGUAAUUACGAACAUGCGUGUACUGGAUAAUAACUAUUUUUAAUACUUAUGAAGAAGUAAUUGAACACCCUGCAUUGCCGACCAUAAGAGUGCAAUUCUAACAAGAAAAAAAUGGUAUACAAAUCAUGCUUCAACCCAGGAGCAUAUUACUAUUCUUUGGAUAAUUACCGCGUCCAGAGGUGGACAAGCUGAAUCCGAUGUUGACAUGCAUUUUUCAUAAGUCUUAACACACUAGCACUCAUUGGUACAUACAAUCUGGUUACAAUUGCAAUUUCAAAUGAAAAUGUGAUGCAUGAUUAGAUUAUUAUUUUAUUAACACAAACAUAUAUGUUGCCAUAAUAAGAGGUGGAUGAAAGAAAAUCUAAAUGCAGUAACGAAUGAGAUAUAUUACCUAUAAUGAAAUCUUGAUGUCAUGUUACACUAUUUGCCUCAUGGAGCAAAGUGAAACUAGUGGUUCUUGAUGUGUUGAAGAAAGACGAAGAGUAUAGAAAAAUAAAAUGUUAGGUUAACAUGCAAACAAAGAAUUUUCAAACUACGAUAACUUGUUUUAAGAUUGUUUUUGUGAAUUGGCCUUCUAGAUGGGAUAAGAGCGCCGCUUUUCUCCUGCCGGAGUACUUGAAGAAGUUCUAUAUGGAGAUGCUGAGGACAUUUGACAAUAUUGAGGCUGAAAUGCCAACCAAUACGAACUACGAUAUAGCACACCUGAAAAAAGCGGUAAGUUCAUGUACCCUUUUCUGUCUUGUAAAAAAAACAUAUAACUAAGUGAGGCGUUUUGGCUCCCAGGAUCAUCUGCACCUGCGCUCAGUAAAAAAAUCAAACAAAAUACUAGAAAAAUUCAAAAAAUUCCAUUUUUUUGGCAUGGUAGAUAAUUUAUUGCAUGAUGUCUGGUCCAAAUGUGAAAUCAUUUGGACAUCUGAGUAGCUCUCGGCAAAAAAGACAAAUUUGUGGUCUGUUAAAUAGUGUACUGUUCACAUACUGUUCUGACCCAAUUUGUCUUUUUUGCUGAGAGCUACUCAAAUGUCCAAAUGCUAUGAAAUUUGGAGCGCACCUCACGCACCAAAUUAUCUACCUUCCACAAAAAUUUGUUUUUUUAAUUUUUUUGAAUUUGUUAAGAAUUUUUUAUUGAGCAGGUGCAGAUGAGCCUGGGCUCAGAAUUGGAUAUUCCCAUAUAACUCUCUNNNNNNNNNNNNNNNNNNNNNNNNNNNNNNNNNNNNNNNNNNNNNNNNNNNNNNNNNNNNNNNNNNNNNNNNNNNNNNNNNNNNNNNNNNNNNNNNNNNNNNNNNNNNNNNNNNNNNNNNNNNNNNNNNNNNNNNNNNNNNNNNNNNNNNNNNNNNNNNNNNNNNNNNNNNNNNNNNNNNNNNNNNNNNNNNNNNNNNNNNNNNNNNNNNNNNNNNNNNNNNNNNNNNNNNNNNNNNNNNNNNNNNNNNNNNNNNNNNNNNNNNNNNNNNNNNNNNNNNNNNNNNNNNNNNNNUCUCUCUCUCUCUCUCUCUCAUUAAUUUUGGGAUUACAUCUCUUUGUUUGCAUGCAGGUCCAAAAUAACGUGACUGGUUACCUGCAAGAAGCGAAAUGGUCACACAGGAACCACAAGCCAAGCUUUGUAGAUCAGGUCAAGUUGACUAGCCUGAACAUUGGUGUGCCAACGAUAUGUGUGAGUAUGAUGGCUGGAAUGAGUGAUGCAAUGAUGAAGCCAGCACUCAAAUGGGCUGCUAGUGUCCCGGAUGUCGUCAUAUCAGUCGGGAAGAUUUCCCGUUUCAUGAAUGAUAUCGGUGCAUUUGAGGUAUAUAUAUAAUAUUUCAAUUUUUUUGCAUACAUGUUACUUGCUCCUUUCACACAUGUAAGAAGCUCAAGUUCAAGCAUAUUGAGAUAUAAUUUUGACCAACAAUUUGACAGCUAAAAUGUGAUUUAUUUGACAAAAAAAAUCAUAGUAUGGGUUACACUUAGAAUUAUUUUUCAGCAAUGUCAUUUUUGUGAUGCUACCUUAACUUCAUUGGUCUAUAUUUUAUAAAUUUGUACACAUCAAAAUGUGUGGGCACCUAUGGAAAAGGGGGCAGGGCUCAGUUACCAAGUUUGUACUAUCAUUGUGAGCGGAUGCAAGAUAUUAAAUUGAUACAUACUUACAUAAAGAUGAUUAUUGAUGUUAUCAUACAGCGUAGAAAAUGCAAGGGGGAUCUGGCAAGCACUGUAGAGUGUUACAUCAGUGAGUACAACGUGACAAGUGAAGUGGCCAUUAUCAAAAUUGUUGCCCUGAUAGAACAAGAAUGGAAGACUCUGAACCAAGCUCGCUUUGAAAAUCAUCUUCUCCCUGCAUUGCAGCAGUUCAUUAGCUUAGCGAUUAGCACAACAUUUUUCUAUGGUAACAGAAAUGAUGUAUACACGCACAGCGCACAUAUGCAGUGGACUAUUGAGAGGCUCUUCCUGAAGAAUAUGUAAGCCUUGGCCCAAUUCAUCGUGUAUUUGUUCCCUAGUUUUCACCAUAGAAAGGGAAAUGUUGAUAAGCAUGCAUGUGAUUCACUGAUAAUAUGUGAAAUGCAACAGUGCAAGAAAGUUGUAGCAGUGCAUUUUAUUACGGCGUGAUAAUUUUGGUUAUAAUUAUAUCUCGACUCAAACUUUAUCUUAUGUAAAGGACUAAACAUAUCGAUGUAUGUUUGAGUUCGUCAGAGAUUGAAAGAGUUGUGCAUAUAUCAAACUUAACUACUCAUGGAUAAGCUUGUUCAUACUUUUUUACAUAGAGGUACAUGCAAACCUUUGCAUAGAGAUAUUAUUUGACAUAGCCAAUGUCAGUCAGAAUAAUAUGAAAAAUAAUCUGAUAGUCCAACAAGAGCAAUGCAAACAUCUACAGAUGUACAGACUACAGAGCAACAAAAACAUUCUGGUUCAAUAAAGGUCCUCUAUAUAAUUAUUACUAUAUACAUUCCAUAUGUAUAUCGAAAUAGCUUUGGAGCGUGGCCGUAGAAAAGCUAGCAGCUGAAGGUCAAACUUUCUGCUUACAGUUAUCCCAAAUUUCUUAGACAUGUUCAGUGACUCUUUAAUUGGCUCGUCGGGAAUUAGCACCAGUCAAAGUGGUGGAGAAGAUUUGCCAAGACAAUCUUUACGGUGGUCAUGCUGAACAGCGCCGAAAGAGGUGACUUCAAAAUGUGUCCCAUAAUAAUCCACGUUAUUCUCAAACCUCUUCGGCUUGAACGAUCCCUCGCUCGCUCUCAGAGUCAAUCGCACAAACCAGGUUAUGAGCUCAACGAAAAAAAAGGAUUUUGUGGGAUUGCCUGGAAAACCGCCUUGCGAGCGUUAGCGUUAGCGACAGCGCCAUCUCCUGAUGGAUAUUUUUCCCGCAUCUCCAAUAGUGCUGAUACGUCUCCAACGUAUCUAUAAUUUUUAUUGUUUCAUGCUAUUAUAUUAUCUGUUUUGGAUGUUUUAUAUGCAUUAAUAUGCAAAUUUAUAUGAUUUUUGGGACUAACCUAUUAACCUAGAGCCCUGUGUCAGUUCCUGUUUUUUUCCUUGUUUUUGAGUUUCACAGAAAAAGAAUACCAAACGGAGUCCAAAUAGAAUAAAAAUUUCGCAGUGAUUUUUCUUGGACUAGAAGACACCCAGGAGACUUGGAGUGCAAGUCAGAAGAGCCACGAGGCAGCCACAAGGGUGGAGGGCGCGCCCCCGACCUUGUGGGCCCCUCGGCGACCCCCUGACCUAGAUCUUCCUCCUAUAUAUUCUCAAAUAUCCAAAAAAUUCCAGGGGAGCCACGAAACCACUUUUCCACCGCCGCAACCUUCUCUACCCAUGAGAUCCCAUCUAUGGGCCUUUUUCGGCGUCCUGUCGAAGGGGGAUUCGAUCAUGGAGAGCUUCUACAUCAACACCAUUGCCUCUCCGAUGAAGCGUGAGUAGUUUACCACAGACCUACGGGUCCAUAGCUAGUAGAACUACAAAAAAAAGACACAUCCGUGACAUUUUGGGCCGAACGAAUUUUUUUCCUGUCAUGCUUAUGACACUUCUAAUUCAUUGACAAAAAAUCAAGAUAGAAAAUGGGCUUUUCGUCCUGGGCGGGCCGGAGACGCAGUUGCAUGACAUUUUUUGGGCAAUCCAUGACGGAAAAAACCAUGGUAUAAGCGAGGGCGAGGAAAAUAUCGAGGAGUUCCCGGUUAUGGUGGGUGGUCGGGGGGCCGAGCGAUGCGCGUUUCUCUCGUACACGUACGCGCGUGGGUGCGAGGCGUUGGGCUCUAACUGAACCCGAGCGAGGCGUUCACCUACUGAACCCGAGCGAUUGCACUGCAGGCUAUGCGUUACUGAACCCGAGCGAUCGAUCGAUGAGUGUUAAUUGAACCCGAUCGAGCGAUUCCUUCGCUACUGCUGCUAACUGAAGCCGAUCGAACCUGCUGCCUCUUGAUGAACAGUGAGCAUUAUUGGGGGGGUUGGAUGAACAGUUCCCGGUGUGGAGGUGGAUGAACAGGACACCGUGGUAGUAGAGGCCGUUGCCGCUGGAUGAGCAGGACCCCGAUCGAGCUGGUUGGGGGUGGAUGAACAGGACCCCGUGGAGGGCUGGUUGAACAGUAGCCGAUGGAGGGCUAGAUGAACAGUAGCCCGUGGAGGGGUGGUUGAACAGGACCACGUGGAGAGGGCUGGUUGAACAGUAGCCAGUGGAGGAGCGGUGGAGGCUGGAUGAACAGUGGCUGGUGGAGGCAGGAGAGAAGACGCCAUGGAUGAAAAGUCGCAGGUGGAGGCUGGAGGAGGUCGACGGUGGAUGAACAGUAGCCCGUGGAGGCAGUCGACGAUGAAGAUGAACAGUAUCCCGUGGAGUCCCGUUUUGCGGUAUGCCACACCCCUCCCGAUGAACAGGACCCCGUUUCGACCGUAGCGCUCCAGCACAACUCCGUUUCCUCCGUUUUGCGGUACGCCACACCCCUCCCGAUCAACAGGACCCCGUUUCGACCGUAGGAGGUCCAAGAGAAGUCCGUUUCCUCCGUUUUGCGGUACGCCAGACCCCUCCCGGUGAACAGGAUCCCGUUUCGACCGUGGCCGGUCGAACACAAGGCCGUUUCCUCCGUUCUGCGGUACGCCAGGCCUCGUUUCGAUCGGUUGUUCCGUCCAAGCCGGUUGGCUCCCGAUGAACACAACGACGAUGCAGUUUCUCCGUUCUGACCCAGCCAUGUAGACGAGCUCUGGUCGUACGUAUGCGCGAGUAGGCGUUCGAGACCCCGCCCAUAUGUACGUACGUGGCCGUAUUUACUUUCUUGCACCCUGGCCGCUGUACGUAUGUGUACAUGAUAUUAACGGGACUGCGUGAUAUGCUACGUGCGCGCCUCUACUACAACACGUGCGUGCCUCUACUACGACACGUGCCCUUCCUUACACGGCCACGGUUCAUCUCUGUAGCCUGCAGACAGACCGAUCGACCAGUAUGUACGUACACGUUCGCGACCAGAGUGACAACGCUACGUACGCUUCAACCAAGUGGGUCCCGACUGUCAAGCACUUCCUUGCGUGCGAAGAUGUAGCUAGUGGGUCCCAGCAGUCAGGGGGCGAAUCAUAUUUUUUGCCCGUAAUAUGCACGCACUUCCUUGUGUGCGAAGAUGUAGCUGGUGGGUCCCAGCAGUCAGUGGGGAAACUUUUUUUCAUAAAAUACUGUGGCCCGUCCGGUGGGUCCCUGCUGUCAGGUGGAGGAAUCAUUAUUUUCCGCAUAAUACUGAGGCACUUUCUUACUGCGGCCGUGGACCCAGCUGUCAGCCUCUCCAUGUACAGUACUCUUCCGAUGGAAGUCGUUCCUUGACCACGCCGCGCCGAGAGCACCAGGGCGGUGGACGACGGCGAGGCGUAGGAAGGGGACGACGCGGAGCCGGGGAAUACGCGGCAGUGGAUGCCCACGCGGAGAGGAGUACGAGGGUUCACUGGUUCGGCUGUGGUGUGAGGCUGUCGUCGCCGCAGCGCCUGGCGAGCGGUGGGAAUAAUAGGGGGUGGUGAGGCUUCCGCGGUAGCACAGCCAGCCACGGGAGGCAGGAGCAUGCGGCACGACCGGCGCUGGUUUGGGCGGCUAGAGCAAGAAGACCAGAGGUUGAAGAAGCACUAUAGCCGUUGAAUGGACAUUGUACGAUCACUGGAGCUAGAAUCGUUCAUAUUGACUAAGUUGACAAAGCCCUCCAUCCCCGUCAACUUAGUAGGCCCACAAGUUAGCCUCACACUAUGGUGGGUCCCAGCUAGCAGGGGGAGUAUUCAUUUUUUUGUGCGUAAUAAGAAGGCACUUCCUUGCGUGCGAAGAUAUAGCUAGCGGGUCCGAGCUGUCAGCGGGGGGAACGUUUUUUUUUGCAAAAUACAGAGGCCAUUCCGAUGGGUCCCACCUGUCAGGUGGAGGAAUCAUUAUUUUGCGCCUAAUAAGGAGACAUUUCCUUGUGUGCGGCCGUGGACCCAGCUGUCAGCCUCUCCACGUACCGUCCACUUCUGAUUUCGUUCGUUGACCACGUUGACCAUGCCGCGCCGAGAGCACCAGGGCGGUGGACGACGGCGAGGCCUAGGAAGGGAAUGACACGGAGCAGGGGAAGAUGCGGCAGUGGAUGCCCACGCUGAGGGGAGUACGAGCGCUGAGUGGUCGGCUGCGGGGUGAGGCUGACAUCACCGAAAAAUAACAGGAUGUGCGGGUGGGUAGAGGGAUGGCCUGGCGGCAGCACAGCCGGCCACGGGAGGAGGGAGUAGGCAGUCCCGCCGGCGCUGGUUUGGGCGGCUGGAGCAGGAAGAUCAAAGAUUGAAGAAGCACGGCGGCCGUUGAAUGGACAUCCAACAGUCACUGCUCUGUGUUGACUAAGUUGACAAAGCCUUGCGUACGCGUCAAUUUUUUUAGGAAAACGUCAUCAUGAACCUAGUAGGCCCAGAAGUCAGCCUCCAAAUCCGUGGAAAACAGCAUACAGCCCAUUAUCCAUUAUUUUCAAUAAUUUACAGCUCGUUUGCUAAUUCUUAAGGAUAUUUUGAAGCCCAUAUUCUUUUUAUUAGCAUUACAGACCAUAUAUUCUGGGCACUGCUAAAAAAUUCAACGAAAAUUUUCAUAUUUCGGUGGGGUCUGAACUCUUUUAAUCACGAAAUUUCUAGUCAUGUUAAAAAUAAUUUUAAAAAAUUUAUAUCAAAAUAAAAUUCAAAAAAAUUCUCUGCCAAAAAAUGAAUGACUCUGGAGUCCGAGAAGGACUCUUGCCUUUCGGGUGAAACCGACUUUGUGGAGGCUUUUACUCCAAGUUUUGACCCCAAGGCUCAACAUAUAAAUAGAGGGGUAUGGCUAGCACCCAAGACACAGCAAGAAACACCAAGCCGUGUGCCGGCAACCCCGUCUCCUCUAGUUUAUCAUCCGUCAUAGUUUUCGUAGUGCUUAGGCGAAGCCUUGCGAAGAUUGUUCUUCACCAACACCGUUACCACACCGUCGUGCUGCCGGAACUCAUCUACUACUUCGCCCCUCUUGCUGGAUCGAGAAGGCGAGGACGUCAUCGAGCUGAACGUGUGCAGAACUCGGAGGUGUCGUGCUUUCGGUACUUGGAUCGGUCGGAUCGUGAAGACGUAUGACUACAUCAACCGCGUUGACAUAACGCUUCCGCUUACGGUCUACGAGGGUACGUAGACAACACUCUCCCCUCUCGUUGCUAUGCAGCACCAUGAUCUUGCGUGUGCGUAGGAAAUUUUUGAAAUUACUACGUUCCCCAACACAGCAGCCCCCGCGUUGGGAACGGCGGCGGCUGCAGCCCCCGGGCCGGGUUGAGCAGUCCCCGGGCCGGGUUCGGCAGUCCCCGUGCUGGGUUGAGGCGCGGCCGGGACAUAGAUGGACUCGGAGUCCGGAGACGGCUUGACGGACUGCUUGUGCAGGUGCUCGAGGGAGACGCCGGACAGGAUGGAUUGCCGGGACGAGGCGAUCUUGGCGAGUGUGCUGGCCGCCUCAUUUUCCGUGCGCGGGACGUGGAGGAACUCGCAGCCCGCGAAGAAUCCGGACAGCUUCUGGACAAGGAAGCGGUAGCUCGCCAUGUUGGGGUCGCGGGCGUCCCACUCGCCGGAGCACUGCUACACCACCAGAUCCUAGUCACCAUAGCAUAGGAUGCAUCGGAUGCCGAGUUCUUUGGCAAGCCGGAGGCCAUGCACAAGAGCUUCGUAGUUGGCGACGUUGUUGGAGGUGGUGAAGUGGAUCUGGAGCGCGUAUUUGAGCCGGUCGCCCUUCGGGGAGGACAGCACAAUGCCGGCCCCUAGGCCGAGACGCAUCUUCGAGCCAUCAAAGUGCAUGUGCCAGUGCAUUGAGUCCGGCGGCGGCGGCAGGUACUGGGUCUCGGUCCAGUCGACGAGGAAGUCGGCCAAAGCUUGGGACUUGAUCACAGUGCGAGGCUCGUAGAGGAUGGUGUGGCCAGCUAGCUCGAGCGCCCACUUGGCGACCCGGCCAGAGGCAUCCUGGCACCCGAUGAUCUCGCCGAGAGGGGCCGUGUUGACCACGGUAACAACGUGCUCUUGGAAGUAUUGCUUCAAAUUCUUGGCGGUGAAGUACACGCCGUAACACAUUUUCUGGUAGUGCGGGUAGUUCUACUUGGAGGCGGAGAGCAGCUCGCUCAGGUUGUAGAUGGGACGCCGGAUGGCUUGGAUCUUGCCCUUCUCUAGUCGCUCGACCACCAUCACCGUGCUGACCGACCGCGAGGUUGCGGCGACGUAGAGCAACAACGGCUCCUUCUCGGCCGAUGCGGCUAGGACGAGUGCGGUGGAGAGCAUGUGCUUGAGGUCCCGGAAAGCCUCGUCCGCCUGGUCGUUCCAUUCGAAUGGCGUCGUCUUCUUCAUCUGCUGAUACAGGGGCAAGGCCCUCUCGCCCAGUCUGCUAAGAAACCGGCUGACAAAGGCCAAGCAGCCGGUGAACUUCUGGACAUCGCGCAGCCGAGCCGGCUUGCGCAUGCGCUCGAUGGCCUUGAUCUUCUCCGUGUUUGCCUCAAUGCCGCGCUCCGAGACGAGGAAGCCGAGUACCUUUCCGUCCGAGACGCCGAAAACGCACUUUUCCGGGUUGAGCUUGACCUUGUACUUGCACAGGUUGCCGAAGGUUUCCUUCAGGUCGUCGAGGAGCAUGAGGUGCUGCUUGGUCUUCACCAUGAUGUCGUCCACAUAGACGUGGACAUUGCGGCCGAGUUGCGGCAGCAAGCAUUUCUGCAUGCAGCGCUGGAAGGUGGCGCCGGCCUUCUUCAGGCUGAACGACAUGGUGAUGUAGCAAUACGCCCCAAAGGGCGUGAUGAAGGACGUCUUCAGGGCGUCGGCCGGGUCUAGCUUGAUCUGAUGAUAGCUGCAGUAAGCAUCCAGGAAGGACAGAAGCUCACACCCGGCAGUGGAGUCGAUGACUUGGUCGAUCCACGGGAGGGCGAAUGGAUCCUUGGGGCAGGCCUUGUUCAGGCUAGUGUAGUCGAUACAUAUGCGCCAGGUCUUUUUCUUCUUCAGGACGAGGACUGGGUUGGCCAGCCACUCGAGGUGAAACACUUCCAUGAUGAAGCUGGCCGCCAAGAGCUUGGCGACCUCUUCACCAAUGGUUCUUCUCUUCUCUUCUAAAAACGUCGCAGGGGUUGACGGACAGGCUUGGCGUUCUUGCGGACGUGGAGUUUAUGCUCGGUGUACUUCCUGUGGAUACCCAGCAUGUCCUUUGGGGUCCAUGCAAAAAUAUCCCGAUUCUCAUGGAGGAAGUCGACGAGCUCGCCUUCCUAUUUGCUGUCAAGGCGGGUGCCCACGACAAUGUACUUGCUGCAGCUGGGCUCUUUCGGGUUUAGCUUCACUUUCUUGGUCUCCUUGGAGGGCUUGAACGAGGCCUCGUCGGCCGGCUCCUCGACCGGGAUUGGCGCGGCCGACGUCUCGUUGGCCAAGGCGACGAUCCGGUCGAGUUGGCGCCGCUCCUUGGCUACGACCAGCGACUCGGCCAGCUUGGCAUCGUCUCGGGCGCACUCUAUGGACUUGCGGUAGUCGCCAACAUUGCUGAUGAGGCCCUUCGGACCCGGCAGCUUCAUCUUCAGGUAGGCGUAGUGGGGAACCGCCAUGAAUUUGGCAAGCGCGGGCUGGCCCAGCAGCGCAUGGUACGCGCUGGUCAGGUCCACCACCUCGAACUAGAGCGGCUCGCGUCAGAAAUGGUCGCUAUCGUCAAACAGGACGUUGAGGCGGACCCGGACGAUUGGAGAGCAGGAGAGGCCGGGAACGAUGUCGUGGAAGAUCGUCCGGGUCGGCUCCAGCUCUUUGGCCUCGAGGCCGAGCUUGGUCAUGGGUCGCGAUAGAGGAUAUUGAUGCUGUUGCCGCCGUCGAUGAGGACUCGGGAGAACUUGCAUGUGCACCGAGGCACGACGAUGGUGGGGUUGAGGACGAGGGCGUAACCACCUGGGUUCGGCAUGACGGCCGGGUGUUCCUCCCGAGUCCAGGUGACCGGGCGCUCCGACCAGUGCAUGUAUUCCGGCUUGGCCGGAAUGACGGUGUUCACCUCCUGCCGAAGGAGGUGCUCGCUGCGUUCGUCAUCGCCGAGGCUGGUGAAGACGACGUAGGUCGCGUUUUGGGCCAGGUAGACGUCGUCGCGCAUCGCGCCGCCAGCCGGAGGUAGCGGUGGAGGCGGAGGCAGCUAGCCCGCUCCCGGAGCCGGGGCCAGAGGAGGCGGGAUGUCGCCCCUCAUGAGGCGCUUGGUGAUGGCGCACUGCUGAAGCGUGUGCGUGGACGGCCUUGCGCCGCUGUGGUGCUUGCAAGGGGCGUCAAGAAUCUCCUCGAAGUUCAUGGCGGGUUGCCACGUCGUCUUGCCGGUCUGCCGGCGCUUGGCGGCCGGGUCGGUCGUGGGCGCCUGUUCAGCGGUCGCGACAAGCCGGUUGUCGUAGCGCUGGGCCGGCUGAUCGGCCCUGCGCUUGUUGUUCUGCUGGUUGUGCUGCUGCCGGCUUCCUUCGUCGGCUGGCUUCGGAGGGGGAACCGCUUUGCUUUGCCGGCUUCAGCCAGUGCUACCUGGAUCUUCAUGGCGGAGUCGGCAUUUGCGUACUUGUCCGCCGUCACCAUGAGCGCAGCCAUGGUGGCCGGCUCAGAGCGUAAGAUCUUGUGCUUGAGGAGGGUGCCAUCCUGGCACCCGUUGAUGAAGUAUUGGAUCCCUUGGACUUUGUCGACGCCCUCGCAGCUGUUCCGGAGCUCGGUCCAGCGUGCGAGGUACUCACGACCGGUUUCCGCCGGUCCCUGCACGCACAUGGCGAGCUGACUGGGGCGGCCGGGUCUUUUGUAUGUGCCGGUGAAGUUGCACACGAAGGCCUGCUCGAAGUCGACCCACGCGUUGAUGCUGCCCGCCGGCAGACUGUUCAACCAGGUGCGGGCCAACCCCCUGGAGCAUGAGCGGCGCGUAGCGCACGGCGAGGCGGUGGUUACCGUCGGCGAUGCCGAUGGUGGUGGUGUAGUCGGUGAGCCAGUCCUCCGGCUUCACGGUGCCGUUGUAUUUGGGGGUGUCGCGGGGGAGCGUGAACCCUUUAGUAAAGGGCUCAUUCCGGAUGCGUGGUCCAAAGCACACGCCCGACAGGGCCGCUCUCCUCCAGCUCCUGGGAGAGGGCGAGUCGGUCGAGGCGGUGGCGGGCGUCGGUGUCGUCGAUGGUGCACGGGCCCAACCGGUUGGUGACUGCGCCGCGGGGGGCCGGAUCGACCGCAGUCGGACAUCGGCUGGGUUGGAGCAGGGGGUUGAGUCGGUGUCGGACCUCCGAGAUCGGCUCGUCGCCCAAGCCGCUGGCAGUCGUCCGGGCGGGGUUGCGCCGGGUCCGGGUGCGGCCGGAGUGCGCCUCGCCGGGUGGCUAAGACGCCGUGUUCUGGUGGUCGCCGGGUCCGCCGGCGCGGGCGGAGCCGGAUCCCGCCGGCUUGGCAAGUUGGUUGAGGCGGUCCUGCUAUGCGUUAGCCGCAGCGAGGAGGUCAUUCACCCUUUUGAGGCGUUCCUGCAGCUCUUCGCCCGCGAGCUGAUCCAGGCCAACUGCGACCGCCUGAGCGGCGCACAUGUUCUUCAGGGGAGACUCGUAGACGGGAGGGAUGGCGCCGAAGGAGCGUCCGAUCGCGCCCCCGGGCCCGCACGUCGGCGACCUAGCUUGGCUCAGGCGUAUUCGGCGUGAAGCCGUAGGCGGCGUUGCGCUCGAGCUGAGCGGAGUUGAGGCGAUACUGCAUGGCGGCGAGCGUCCUGGUGAGGUCCAACAAGCGCUGGCAGUCCUCGUCGAGACGAGUCCGGGCCUCGGCGAUGUUGGAGGCAUCGAUGUCGGUGCCGAUGGGGACGCGAAGGCUCUGCAUCGUGCCACGCAGCGGGUUGGGCGAGCCGGCCCGUUCCGCUGCGGCCCUGGCUUCGGUGGCCUUCCUGGCCACGCUGGACGAGGAAGAGGCGCCGGUGUCGGUGAUGAAGACCUCCAUGCAGACGUCCAUUGCCCUGGCGGGAGUGCUACCGCCGAGGGUAAGGGGGGAGUCGGAAAAGUCAAGUACCUCGCUGGGGUACUCGUCGGCCGCAGGCGCAUCAGAGAUGCGCAGCGCGGCGAAGGAGGCGGCAGUGCGUCGAUGACGUCGUCCGCCAGCGUGACGGGCUCGUCGGAGUCGGAGAGGAGCCCCGUCUGAAGCAUGCUGCCGGCCAGGACCUCGAGCUGCCCCACGGUUGGCGCCAACUGUCGUGCUGGGCGCACGGCAGAUGCUAAGGGAUGGCUAAAGAUAGGAGGAGGCUCGAGGGCACUGGUGGGCUCCAGAGGCGAGGUUGGCAUGAGCGAGCGCGGGACGCAAGACAUACCCAAGUUCGGGGCUCUCCGGAGAGAUAACACCCGUAGUCCUGCCGAGUGUAGUUGAUGUGUAUCAGUACAGAGUUGCUCCUAGAGCUGUAUGGAGGAAGAAGGAAGGCAGUCCAAGGCUUAGGCUGCUCCCUCUCCUUGGGUGUUGCUUGCUAUGUGUGUGUGAGUGAGUGAUCGCCCGUAUGCACGAGGGCUCCUAGGAGGUUUUAUAGGUAAACCCCCUAGGAGUACAAUGGUAAUGUUACAAGGCCGUGGGGCCAGGUUGUCAUCGUCUGGGAAGCCGGUGCUGGGACCCGCCGGGUGUCAGGGCUCGCCGGGUUCUCCGGGUGCGGGACCCGCCGGGAGUAGGGGCACUGUUGGCUGUCUUAUCGGUCGUCAGGGAGUAGCCGAGUUGAGUCCGCUAUAGGGGCGUUCCGUCAGGUCGCCGCUUGCUGGCGUCGGCAGUGACGACGGGCGCACUGUAGCCAUGCCAACCCUGGUCAGCGGGUAGGUGGGGCACUAUUGCCACGCCCGGCUGACCAGAGGCAUGGGCGGGGCACUGUUGCCUUGCUCAUCUCUGAAUGAAGACUCGUCCUAUCGUACGGCCUGGAUGGGACGGGAGCUGACCCGUGGCCGGGUUGGGGAAUACGCCAAAGGGAAGCUUUCUUGUUGGGGAAGUCUUGAUGCGCCGGGUUCGGCUGCCUUGCAUCGGCCGUUAGGGCCGGGUUGAGGAAUUUGGCCAGGUCGAGGAGCUUAACCGGGUCAAGCGUGGGCCGGCUUGAGGGGCGUUGCUGGCCCCGUUGUUUUUAAAAAGGAUCUGGGUUCCGUUGCCUACCUGGGGUUCAUCCCCCCGACACAGGCUAAAGUACUUUAACCCUAUCCGCUACUCACCCCAUCACCUGCAACGCUCAGGUAUGGGCCGUCCCAGUUUAUGCUUUUUUUAAGUACUCCGUGUGUCCCAAAAUAAGUGUCGCUAAUUUAAUACAAAAUUAUACUAAAUCAAUGACACUUAUUAUGGGACAGAGGGAAUAUCAUGCUAGCAUUGUCUCAAAAAAAGGUAGUAUCAUGCUAGCACCAGUUUCCUGCAGUGUUUCCUAUCGUCAAGCAAAAAACACUCGAAAAUGUUUGAUAAUUUGAAAAAGGUAUGCAGAUUCAGAAAAAGUCCAUCAAUUUGAAAAAUAGUUUCUGAAUUCAAAAAACAUUCACAAAUUUGAAAAAGUUCGCAAACUCAAAAAAAUGUUCAUGGUUUCCAAAAAUGAACUCACAUUUGGAAUAAGUUGGCGAAAUAGAUUUUUUCACUAUUACAAAAAAUUUCAGGAAUUCAGAAAGUUCACAAAUAGAAAAUACUAUAUUUGUUCAUGAAUUCUAAAAUAUGUUCUCAAACUCGAGAAAAUACACUAUGAACAUUUUCUUGUAAAAAACAAUUUUUUGUACUAUAUUUUUUUCUAAUAUACUGUGAGCAUUUUCUAAAUAUAUGUUGAAUACUUUCAAAAUACAGUGAAAUUUUUUUCAAAAAAAUACACAUUUAAUUUUUUAAUAUAAAUUUUUUUUUUUUAAUGUAUUGUGAAUGUUUUUCCAAAUACACACUGAACAUUUUUCAAAAUACACAUUGAACAGAUUUUGAACUUUCAAUCAAUUUUCUAAGAUUUUGAACAUUUUGAAAUUUAUGAAUUUAAAAAAUAAAAUGGUGAAAAACAGAAAACCAAAAUAAAAUAUAUAUUGACUUUUCUAAUAAAGGGAGGUAAGAAUUUUAGCCUGUCAUUUUUAUUUGCAGAAAAGUCCAUGUGUUUCUUUCAAUUAACCCGCAUUCCACGGUUCUUUCGUACAUCCGUCCAUUGGCUUGGCCGCACGGGAUCGAGCAGUGUAUCGAGCAGCCUCCCAUUUCGUAUGUCGGUCUCGAGCAUCCCAUCUUGCACGUUUUUCUUAAGGGCCGCUAAAAACAUCAUGGGCCAGAGUUUCUUUUACGGGCCAUUAAAAACAGUUGUUCUUGUUCUUGACAUAACUGUUACUCCACCUACGUUCGCCUGGAAACGAGGAGGACCAAUGAUAUAGGAGAGGAACAAGACACUCCAGGCUGCAAAUUUUUCGGUGGUCGACACUAGAAUUCUGCUGGGCAAGAAUUUUGAUUUUGCAUAUGAAUUUGGAGACUAAGAUGGUCAAAUCAGAUGUUAGCCUCUGCUCAUGUGGGGAGAAAGUUUAACUGAAAACUAAAAAGGUGCAUUUUGUGAUGCUAAUACAAUUUGAGAUAAUAUAGCAUGGAGAGUUAAACAUUUUUGGCAGAAUAGUAGAAUAUCGAAUCAGCGCAUCUAUCAAAACAAUAUUAUUUAGAGGUAGAAUAACCAUGUGCAUAGAAUUGCAUUGUUUAAUUAUUCAGGGCAUAGAAGAGUAAUACUUUUUGCAAACACAAUACCAAAACAUAGUUACUUGUGAAGACAAAGUUGCUGAUCAUUUGAUCAUGUAGUAGCAUUCGCACAGAGGCGAUAUAUUUACUAAUGGAAAACUAAAUCACUUGAAAAGAUGGAUGUAUGCCGAACAUCGCCAUUCCUUUUAUGAGCACUUCAAAUGCUGAUCGAAGCUCUUUUUAGGAUUAUUAGUGCAUCUUCUUUGGUGGAGGCAAUUUCUUGGCUUUAGUUCCAUCCAAGUAAUCCACAAAUUUGUUCCUAAAUAAAUAUUAAGCAUACAUGGAGAAGUUUUAGCUUCUAAGUGGUAGUUUAGACCUUUUGUAGGACUUCUUUCUAGUUCUGGGUGAAUCAUUUUUGGUUGCAGUACCAAUAUCAGAAGAUCGUGCUUCUUGUUCCUUGUCUGAAUAUGGUGCUAUGUGUUCCUACAAUUAUUCAAAGAGAAUCACAGUGAUAAUGAAGCAAAUUAUUAUAGUCAAGGGUAUAGAAAAGUAAGAAAUGUUGUACAGUUGCAACAUGUAUAGGAGAAAUCUGCACUCCACUGUUAUCAUUUCCAUCACUGUUGUCACUGUCCUUGUCCUCGAGUUCUUUCUUGUUACUGAUUGUGUUUACCUAUCAAAUACAUAUCGUGAUAGAUUAGUUUAGUACAACUUGAGCAAGGACAUGUGAGUAUUUAGUUGUAGUUUUGAGUGAUUACAUCGCUUCCAUCCGCAUGAGCAUCAAAGAUUGAGUUGGCUAUUGCCUGACAAUCAUGUAAAGUGCAAUUAUACAUUAGGUAAAANNNNNNNNNNNNNNNNNNNNNNNNNNNNNNNNNNNNNNNNNNNNNNNNNNNNNNNNNNNNNNNNNNNNNNNNNNNNNNNNNNNNNNNNNNNNNNNNNNNNNNNNNNNNNNNNNNNNNNNNNNNNNNNNNNNNNNNNNNNNNNNNNNNNNNNNNNNNNNNNNNNNNNNNNNNNNNNNNNNNNNNNNNNNNNNNNNNNNNNNNNNNNNNNNNNNNNNNNNNNNNNNNNNNNNNNNNNNNNNNNNNNNNNNNNNNNNNNNNNNNNNNNNNNNNNNNNNNNNNNNNNNNNNNNNNNNNNNNNNNNNNNNNNNNNNNNNNNNNNNNNNNNNNNNNNNNNNNNNNNNNNNNNNNNNNNNNNNNNNNNNNNNNNCCAAGAUGACUUAGUUGAUGUGUUGCUUGACCCAGAGCAGUGUGUUGCUAAAAUUAGUCCUUGUAUACAAGCUGCAUUUUUUCGGCACAAAGAAUAACUUCAGUGAUAAAAAAAAAGUCCAUAGAUGGAGAAAGAAUUGGGGGAAGAGGAGAUGGAGGAACGAGGAAUAAUUGGAACUAAUUGCAGACAUAAGAAUCACCAAUCGUUGCUGCAGCCUGCAGAAUGAUUUGCAGAAGUGAGGAGAGUGGAGAACGAGCAGAGGCAAGGUUGGGAUUAUAUGGGCGUGCAUGAAUUGAGUGAAAAUUAUGAAUCCCCAAUUGUAAGAAAUCUGCAACAAUUGGCGUCUGGCGCAUCAGACUGUGAGUAAUGGCUGGUUAAACUCUCAAUCAAUCAUCGUUGAAUUGGCGAUAGAACCUGAAAGGACGCAUACCUUUUUGCCGCCACAAACCAUGCUGCCGUGCCGUGCAACCAAACGGGUUGAGUAAAUCAAGCUUCCACCGACGCCAUGAGCCGGAUUCCAGAACAAACGAAACUAAAUAAGCAAGAGAAAAAGGUGGAACCAGAACAGGGAAAAUAAAGAAUGUGUACGACAGUUUGUACCUUGGAUAAAGCAUGUGCAUGUCAAUCGAUUAGGCUUCCCAUUGAGAAGCUGAAAGGAUGUAGACAAGUACUUGUGUCCUUUUUUGAGGAUGCUGCACCCUGAUGGUAAGCCGGUCAGGGGGAUGGGACAUGAAACGACACUGACUGGAGAUCUUUUGCUUCCGCGAGAGGAAUGGUUGUGGUUUCGUAAGAGGCACGACCGUGCCUCUUUCGGGAAGGAAAAAAACCGUGCUCCUGGUUUGGUUUUUUAGUCCGGUUUUUUCUUGAAAAAAGUUCGUCAAAACCUAUCAACAUCUGAUCUAGUUUUGAAGAUCUCGACGCGAUAAACCCAACGAUGAAAAUGAUUCGAGAUUUGAACACACGGUAUAAGAGAUAAAUGUUUUGAAUAAAUGGAUCUACAAAAAAGGAAAAACUCCCAGGUUGCGACAAGUGGCGCACAUGUAGAGCGCCACUUGUCACAACCUGAGGAGGCGGGAGUGAUCUUUGCAAGGAGUACUCCUCAAUUAGUGAUUUCUCCCUUUAGGAAAGUUGGGCCAGGAAUCAAAUGUGCAGUGGAAGUAAAAAAGACACAGCAAAUCUGACGGUGAAGAAUGCACAGAUCAUGAAAAUAGACGGCCAGAAACACUCAGUGCGUGAGAGGGCUGGGAAGCUCAGUUUUAUUGUCCUAAAUUAACAGGAGUGACUGUGGGGUGCGAGCUUUGCACACUUAAUUAAGAUGGGNNNNNNNNNNNNNNNNNNNNNNNNNNNNNNNNNNNNNNNNNNNNNNNNNNNNNNNNNNNNNNNNNNNNNNNNNNNNNNNNNNNNNNNNNNNNNNNNNNNNNNNNNNNNNNNNNNNNNNNNNNNNNNNNNNNNNNNNNNNNNNNNNNNNNNNNNNNNNNNNNNNNNNNNNNNNNNNNCACACAUCAAUUGGGCAUUAAAUCGACAACGUAAAAAAAAUCCGAAAUAGAUUUCCCUCGGUUCGUUACAUACGCCCAGAACGAAACUUCACAAAUAAAUGCACCUUUAAUGAUUAUUUCAGUUACAAAAUUUUCCACAUAUUCUAACUUCUAUAUUGACCCAUGAAAAUUCCUUUUUUUCUUUUGGUAAAUUUUUAAAAAACUAUAUGGAUAAACCACAUUGUAUUACACUAAUAAGCUGCAUUGCAUAGAGUAAUACAUUAAUGUGCUACUUGUCAAUUACCGUUUGAUUAAAGUUGAAUCCUUACACUCUAAUUUUUUUCGACCAUGGUACAAUGCUCACAUACGCACAUAUACACUCACCCUAUGAAUGCAUGCAUACAUGCACACCCUAUCCCUAUGAGCACCCCCUAGAUGCGUAGACGAGGGACCUACACGAGCUGUACGCCAUGCCGAGGAGUCGGAGGGGCCGACAGAGAAAGACUCGACGACGGUUGCGGCGCCAAUCGGCGCGGGGCCGAUGUCGCCAACGAUGGUCGGAGUAGACGAAGUGGUCGGGGAAGAUGACGGCGACGCUGGCGAAGAGCAGGUGCUGGACGAAGCUGAAGGGGGUGGAAGGGCGGCGUCGGCGGUUACAGGGUUAGCAGCGGCGACGGCCGAAGAAGAGCGGUGAUAGCGGCCUGACGACGGCGACGGCUGGGUUAGGAGUGCGCCGGUGGUGCUCGAAGUAGGCGAGGAACCCAACAGCAUGACGAAGACUGUCGCGGACGGUGGCGUUCCCGCACCAAGGGUGGCGGCGCGGCGCAUACCAUGGGAGGUCGACGCAUGGGGACGUCAGAGUGGACCGCGGGCCGCGAUGCUACGACCCAAAGGGAUUACGCAGUGGCGGGCAGGUCGGGGCAACGACGAGAAGACAUCGGAGUGGUGCGUGGAUCGCUUGCCGCAUCGCUACGGCCCGAAGGGGCGGUGCAGCUGCGGUGUGCGGGCGGUGAUGCCGCGCGUGCGGCCUCGGGCGGCGGCGGUGACUGUGUUUCGUGAUGCUAUAGCUCGAAGAAGGGGUGUAGCGGCGGGUCGGGGGUCGGGGCAGCCGCGAGGAGAACCACUGGACGGGGGCGACGACCCGAUAGCCCUAAGGGACGAUGCAGAGGCGGUGGCUACGGGGGUAGCAGGCGGGAGGAUCUCGGGGUGGCGGCGUGGACCGCGUCACGUGAUGCGACAACCUGAAGGUGCAUCGGCGAGAGUGGGGCGCGGGUCGGGGCAGCCAGCGUGAUGACCUCGGGGUGGCGACGCAGUGAUCCGAAGGGAUGACGCGACGGCAACCUAUGGCUCGAUCGGUGGUAGGCGCGUGCUCAGGGACGGCUUGACGAGGACAUGCGCGUGAUCGGUUGAUCAGACCGAUGCAACGCUGUACGCGCCAUGGCGGGGACGACCCGCAGAUCUGAGUCGAUGGCGAAGUUGUCGGUGAUGUUCCGGGCGAUGACGACAAAGACAGACCGGCGAUGGAGACCGCACGGAUGAGCGGCCGGCAGCGAGGCACGAAGGCGUCCCUUGGGCGGCGCGUCCAGCCUUGCCACGCUGUUGAUGACGAAGUGGCCGGUGUAGUCGAUGCCGAUGUUGGAGUAGAGGCGCGGGGGUUGACGGUGGCGGCGGGCGACGUAAACCGAUCUUAGAUCGGAAAACCCGAAAGAAAAGGCCGAUCAAAGUGACUGGCCAGAGAGAGAAAACCCGGAUCAAAGGAUCGGGAAAAAGACUCUUUAGGGCAGCCGGUCAACAUGACCGGCGGAUGAACCCUAGGUACGGACGGCGCGGCCCCCAACGGCGGUCAUGGAGGCCGACCGCCUCAGGGGCGACGCGCGGGGCGGAAGCGGCGGGCAAGGGCUAGGGUUGGAUCGGUUAGGUUGAUACCAUGUUAGAAACGAUAGAGAGAGAUUGAUGAAAUUAAUUGAUGUAUUGCUUGAGCCUCGUGGGCAUAUACAGGGGUACAUAAUCUAUUUUUUUUUUGCAUGGUGAAAGGGAGUUUUACUCCAAAAUGAUAGGGUUACAAUCUCGAAACAACUGCUCCUCACAACAUGAAGGACUCGAGUUCAACCAUACCGCAGUACAAUACUCGGUACUACUAUAGUGUGCCAAAAGAUGUGCUACUCUAUUCUGCUCUCCACCAAUUUUAUAAGAAACAAACUCCCUAGCAACCGUAUGAGCUUUAAUCUCUGCGUCAAGAUGACCAUAGGCUGAUCUGGAAAGUGUGGCGUCUACUUGGAGUAUAAGAAAAGACAGAAUACUUCUUAGUCUAUCCUAUGUUUCCAAUACAAUCACGAUACUCAACAGUGCAUAAGUACGUAUGUACUCGCGCAUCUAUAACCGGAAUCAAUUAACCUGUUUAGGGAUUUAACUUCGCUAUGUAUACGUGCCUGACUGCCUAUGUGUUUGUACGAUGUGAGUGACAACUCUCCUCCUCUCUUUUAUGACUAAUGUUAUUUAAUCCGAUGAUCAAAACUUCAUCAACUUUGACCAAGUUUAUAGAGAAUAAUAUCUACAUAUAUACUAUCAAAUUCAUAUCACUACAUAAAACACAAGAUAGACUUUCAUAUUAUAUUUAUUAUUGUAUUAUUAUUGUUUAUAUUUUUCUCAAUAAACUUGGUCACUGUUUGACUUUAGAAAAAAACUAUGUACACUACAUUGUGGAAUUAAAUAUACAGACGAUGGAAUUGUUGAUAUUUCCAUGUUGCCGUGUACUAUCUUUACCUUUCAUUGAUAUAUCUAUAUCUAUAUCUAUCUAUAGCUACUAUUAAAGCAAAGUGAUAUUCUUAGUUUCGUUCCGCUUAGAUGAUUUUGUAUUCAACAUAUAUACCUGAGGUGGUACUAAUUCGAGGUGCUUCGUAACUUCGUUCGGUGCUUUCAGAUCGAUCGCUGCAAAGGGCUGUGUCUUGCUCCACCGGUACGUACUGGGCCAGGAGCGAACACUAGUAGAAAAAAGGCCUUUAGUCCCGGUUCUGGAACCGGAACUAAAGGGUCGUUACUAAAGCCUCCCCCUUUAGUCCCGGUUCUUACACGAACCCGGACUAAAGGCCCUCCACGUGGCUGCUGCCUGGAGGUCCACUUUUAGUCCCGGUUGGUAACACCAGCCGGUACUAAAAGAAAUUUUAUGAUUUUUUUUUUUAAAAUUGAAUUUUUUUGAAUUUUCAAAUUUCUGAAUUAUUUUAACCUCUAAUCUCUAAUCGCCCCUCAUCAUUGCUCAAUUUAACCUCUAAUCUCUAAUCAUCUAACUUCCCGGACGGUCACCCAUCCUCUUACUACUCCAGCCUGAGCACGCUUAACUUCCGGGUUCUAUUCUUCCUCGUUUCCAAGUCUGCACUUGUUGUUUUCGUGACAAUAGUAAGAUGUCAAUCCUAUUAACUCUCAGGAAUUUAGCUUGAGCAUGAAGUCACAUAUUUCACUGUUUGAGUUUGAAACUAUUGUUCUAAAAAACAAUAAUUAUUUAGUAACACUAAUAUUUCUUGAAUAAGUAGUUUAACCAUAGUUUCAUCAGAUUUGACCAAAAUUCAAAAAAACUGAAAUAAUUAUUUAGUAACACUAAUAUUUCUUGAAUAAUUAGUUUGACCAUCGUUUGACCAGAUUUGACCAAAAUUCAAAAAAACUGAAAUAAUUAUUUAGUAACACUAAUAUUCUUGAUUAAUUAUUUAGUAACACUAAUACUUCUUGAAUAAGUAGUUUGUCCAUAGUUUUUUCCUGACAUCGUAUGCAAAAGUUAUAGCCGUUUUACAUUUUGCCUAUAGUUUUUGCAAAACAUGUCCAAAUUUAAGUUUUUAAAUUUUCCUAACUAGUACAUGUAGUAACAUAACUACAUCUGGAAGGAUUUUAAUUUUUGAAGUUUUUAUCAUUUUCUUUUGCUUUUUACAAAACUGAAAAGGCGAUCCAGGGGGGGGGGGGGUAGAGUUUGAAAAUGGGACCUUUAGUACCGGUUCGUGCCAUGAACCGGUACUAAUGACCCCUUUAGUCCCGGUUCGUGGCACCAACCGGGACUAAAGGUCCUAUUUGAACCGGGACUAAUGCCUGUAUGGUGCCCUAGCCGCUCGAACCGAGACUAAUGCUCACAUUAGUCCCGGUUCGUAAUACAACCGGAAUUAAUGCUCUUUUCUGGCCGAACUAAAGCCCUGUUUUCUACUAGUGGAAGCAAGAAAGUGGGCCUUCCAAUAAUUUUUUUCUUGUGGGCUAGGAGUAUAUGGGUGGGCUUUCAGAAUAUUAAAAAAAUUACUACUGCUUGUAUGGUUGUUCGAUCUCACGAUCCUAAAAAAAAAGGUUGUUCGAUCUCACGACCAGCUAACUAUACAAAACGUUUCUAAAAAAAAGACUAACUAUACCAAACAAAUAAUAACGUGGCCAGAGCUAGCUGAAGAUUAUGCUUGUCUAAAUAAAGAGGUUUGUUUGCUAACAUAAUAGUCCCACCUCACUUUUUAACACGAAAUAUGACCAAUUUAUAUAAUUGCGUGAGGUGCAUGUACAAACAACGAGCCGCUUGGAGAAGCAACAAACAAAUGGUUAUCCGCAAGAAUUAACUUGGAUUGGGGGCUGCAUGAGAUAAAUAGAGGAGGGCCCAAAAAGCCUAGGGUUUCCGCUGCCCCCCGCCGCGUAGCCGCCAGGCUGCCUCGUCUCCUGUGCAUCCCGGUCCUUGCCGGCUUGUUUUUAGGUUUUUUAUAGUUUUGAUAGGGUUCAUGUCCUAUCAGAAAGACGGGGAGGUAGCGGCUCCCUAACGAUCCCCGCCAUGAUGAUGUAGCAUAAUCGGAGGAUGUGCGUAGGUUUUUCCUCGACGGAUAUCGCGGGAUUUGGUCGGCGUUUGUCUUUCGUGGAUCAACUUGGAUCCGCUCAUGGUUUGUCUAUGUCAGUGUGUCUACAAGUUGAAUUCUUCCGAUCUACGAUUCUCUUUAUCGGUGGCAGUUAUUGUUCCAGUGGUUGUAGUCGACGCUAGAUGGUCUACGGACCUGCAUAUAUAUUUAAAUGGGAUUGUGGGAUGUGUCUGAGAUACAAGAUUUCAUGGGAUUUUAAGAGAGAAUAAUAUUUAAAGAUGCCCUCGUGCCACUUUGGUGAACUUUUCAAUGGAAACAUAUUAAUUUACUUUUCCGUUGCAACGCACGGGUAUUUGUGCUAGUACCUACUAAUAAAGCAAGGUGAUAUUCUUGGUUUCGUCCAGCGAUUAGUAUUUUCUGUUUAAUUUUUGCACGUACUAGCGGUCCGUCCGUCUUAUUUUGCUCACGUACGAGAUGGUACUAAAUGUUGUUUGAUCUCAGUUUUGAGUCCGUUGCAGGGUGCCUGGGCCUGAGCCUGCUUCGUACAGAUACUAAAAAAGGCCACAUGAGUCAUGCUGGUCAGCUGGCUUUGGGCCUUGCCAGGCCAAAUUGUCCUGGCCCACCCAGGUGGCCGAUGCAACAAAAUUCUGGCUGGUGGGCAACUUGAACACACAACAUCACGUUCGACAGCUCGACCAACUAAGCUGGAUCACAAGAUCUGAGAAUACAAUGUUGAUUAACCUAUUAAAUAGUCCCACCUUGUUUGUUUAGAUCUAAUUUUUCUAAUUUAUAUACGUCUUGAUUUUUUUGGGGUAUCAAGGAGCCAUCUCAGGAAUCAUUGAGGAAAUAAGACAUCUCAUAAUAAGGAAAGAUAUUGAGAGAAUAAGGAAAGAAAGAGGGAUUGAGAGAAUAAGGAAAGGAAGAGGGAUUUCAGACGUGAUUACAAAAACAAAGAAGGAAAGAGGACCGAUAUAGAAGGAAAGAGGGAAUUAAAUAAGAAGGCAACCCAGCGUCUGUCGUGACCGAGGAUCGGAUUCCAUCUGUGAAAGAUGUGAAGUAAAAGGAUAUAUUGGAACAAAAAGCAUGUACGUCACAACUCAAUUAUGAGUCGGGAAUAUAUAGAAAACAUGUGUACAAUUAUUUUUGAUGGAACAUGCAAGUUGAGUUUAACUUGAACACAUACAAAAAUAGAUGUCUUUGCACUAGAAAAGAAAACUUAGAUCAUGGCCGAUCAAGAUUUUGAGUUAUUUAAAAAAAUAAUGAGAUGCACUAACGUGCGGCGGCCGAUCCCCCAUAUCAAACGGUGUGGCGCCCAUCACGUUGGAAGGCAUGAGCUGACACGCCCGUGCAUUAAUAAUACAAUUUGAUUUAUAUACUAAUUGCCAAAUAAUAAAAAGAAAUAAAGUAUUACAUAUAUAUUAUUUCUUUAAAAUUAGCUUAUAGGGCUUAAACAUAAAAAUUUAACCAGUAAAACAGGAGAUAAGAUUAAAGCUAAAGUAAAGUAUAAUCCAAUUCAAAUCAAAGUAGACUAUAUUUUUUAAUUCGACAAGAAAAAUUAAUAUGAAUAGUUACUUCGCCUCAUAUACCAAGACAAUUUUUAAUUAUUCUCCAAAAAUAUUAUAAUUUUCAUACAUGUUAUGAGGCUUAUUCAGUUAAUGAGCUGAUGAAUUUCUUCUUUGUGUGUAAAUUUGUUGAUCUGCUUUGUUUGUAACUGAAUUGGUAAGUAUUUUGUUUAGGUGCACAUGCCACAGUUGAACUACUUCUUUAUAUCAGAACUGUUGACGUCAAGAACUAAGAUAUGAUGUUGUAAUACUAAUAUUUGACAUAUCAAAAUUGUUUAACUCAAGAAAAAAGUUAUGUAUAACACACGCAAAAGAAACUAUGUCUAAAUCAUGAUAAAAAGUCUUCAUUUUUUGUUGGUCAUAUGCUAUAUUUUUUUGAGAACAAAAUAAAUUAUCAUUCUUAUUUUUCUGCUCGACUCAGAAGCACUCGUCACCAAAGUACAAGGAGUCAGACUCGGAGUACCUGCUAUGUGAGACACAAACUCUGCAUUUUUCUCUGUUAUAUUAUACAAAGAUAGGGGAUCUUUGUACUACGCUCCUAAUAUUAUGUUGUUUCUCAUCUAACAGUGUGGAGGAUUUCAAGAAGUUUGUUCAUGUCAUCAUGUCUUUGACGUGAGCCAUUGCAUUAGUGAAGUGAGGUUUUUGUCUCCCGUUGCAACGCACGGGCAUUUGUGCUAGUAGUAUGAUAAAAGAAUCACCAGCACUCCCUAGAUAAUUUUUUUAUAACAAGGCAAUAAAAUAUUCAAGUAACAUAAUUGGUAAACCAUACAUAUAUGUAAAUUAUACUGAUAAUGAUAGUUCCCUUUCGCAACAUGGUAUCCAAUACUGAUUGUUGCAUGUUAUCAGUUGCAAUGGUUCUAAAAUAGUUAUUAUUUUACUUUUUUGCAUGGAAUGAAAGUUAAUUGAACUAAAACUCAUCCUCGUUGCUGCAGGAGCCAUCACUGCUGCUGGCAGACGCACUGCCUUGCGCUUGUUGAUGAUGUCGGCGAUGAUGCAUAGGACGCUUCCACAGCUCCUCUUCAUCCGGCGCUCGCCUUUGCUCAGCCGCCGUACCAGCCACGAUGACGGGAAGAGGUCGACGAGGCAGAAGCCUCCCAUGAGAUCCAUGAUCUCAUCGACCAGGCGGAGGUACUCCUCCUGCCACACGAAUUUGCCGCCGAACACGGCCCGCGUCACGAUGCCGUUGCUGAGCGCUGCCACCUUCUUGCUAAUGUUGAUGGUUGCGGUGCCAGCCGAGGACGCGAUGGAGCGGACAAGGUCGUCCACCUUCUCAGUCCUGAUGCCCUCCAUGCGCCUCACUUUCUUGGGGCUGAGAAGCUCCAUGACGCAAACCUUCCGCAUCUGGCGCCAAUGGUCACCGUAGGCGGCGAAGAUGAUGCCCUGGCCGCCGAAGCCGAUGAUGUCCUGCAACCCGGUUGUCCGCCGGUUGAAGCACGCGGCGUCAUUGGUCUUCAUCACCUGCGCCACCGCCUCGGCGCUGGAGACCACCAUGGCAGGGAGCUUGCCGAGCUUGAGGAGCAUAACUGGCCCAUGCCGGUGACACAGCUCGGUGAUGGUGCGGUGUGGGAGGGUGCUGACGACUGUUGGCGCCGCCUCUCCUCGCGGCGCCACUUCUUCUUCUUCCUCUCACAACUCUCUUGGAAUAUAUCUCCAGAAUACACACCAUGGAAGAAACCGAGAAAAAACACACACACACACACGUACCAAGGAAGAAAGCCAGCUAGCUUUGUCGGGAGGCUAUCCUCCUUAGUGGCACAAGUGCUACAUUUUGUUGCUGCCCUCACGGCCUCUUUUCCAUUGACUCAAAGCAGUACAUAUAUAGGGGACUCAGGCACUUGUGCCACGAACUCACGCCACUAACCGGCCUCCACAUUCAGCCACUAACCAACUAACCCAUGCACUAAGCUAGCUAACAACCAGUGUUUUAAAUAGCCCGCUAUAUAGCCUUUUCAGCAUGGUGCCGCUAAAUGAUCGCGUUCACAAAUAGCCCGCUAUAGCCCGCUAUAGCUGAUUUGGAUGCCCACUGCUAUUUUCCAUAGCCCGCUAUUUAAAACAUUGCUAACAACCCGCUGGCACACAUGACACAUCCACCUCUCCCUGGAAUCGCUCCAUCCUACGGAGGACUCGCCGGCCGGCACUAAUUCUUAUACUAAUCAACCAUGCAUAUGUGCAAUGACUAGGUCGAACCCACACAACGUGUAAAAAUGCAUGUGUACAACUAAUGUCAAGAUUAAUGCUAACAACGAUAUGGUGGAGGCUGUCGACGAUGAUGGGGAGAGUCUAUGGUCCAGGCGGCAGCUGCGACUUCCUUGGGCUGUUGCUCCUGCCGGCGGCGAGCUUGAGAAACCAAAUGUAUAACAGGGUGGAUAGGGCUACGAAGCACCAGAUAGUUUCCAUGGCAGGUAGGUAUAGCUAGGUUAUGGUCAGUUCGUUGUCAGCCGAGUGAUACAUAAUAUAGCCGCGCCUACUGUCAUGUCGAUAAUAAAGAAAGAAAUUAUGGAACCAUCGCAGCCUCCUGUCACGCCCCCCUUGAUGACCAUAGAAAAUGAUUGAUCUUUAGCAGUUAGCAGCCAGAACCGUAGAACUAGCCUUUUUUGUCAUGGAAAAUUUGACCAUAGACAUGGGUUGUUUCAUUUGAUUUCCAUAGCUGCCGCUAGCAUAUAUACAAAUAACCAGCAGCCGGGCAUGCAUGGCUAGCUUGACUAUAAAACGAGCAUGUAACUUGGUCAGACCAUAUAAUAUAUCCAAACAUAUAUGUGGUAGCGUGUGUUUCCCACCUUUUGUUCUAUUGGUUUGUUAAUUGCUUCCAGGAUGAUUUAUUUACGGUUUACGCCCACAAAAAACCUUGAGAUGCUAUUACGAAAAAACGAUGCAAAAAUGGGGAAGAACUCAAUUAUGGAACGGGGGCGACCCAUGAACAAGCUACACCUUGUUUAUAUAUAUAGAUAAACACAGCUAGCAAACAUUAAUAAAUUCCUUCCUGCUCCUAUAAAGAGUCACAUAUAAUCCAAAGUGUUAUAAUCGGUGGAUUUGCUAGCUUAGUCCAACAUCAAUCGUCUGAUCUGGACAAGGCGACCCUCCCCACCAUGUAGCGUACAUAGUAUUCUGGCAUAGUUGACACAAUAUUUUGGUCAUUUAAUUGUGGCAUGCUUAACUUUUUGGGUUAUGGUUUUUUUCCAUUUCUUUCACAAAUCGCUCAUAUUUUCUCUUUAGUAUGAUGCAAUGAACCUAUACUUCAAGUAAUAUUUAGAAAUUAUAUCUUCAGUUUCCAUUGCAAUGCGUGGGAACCGGAUCCUCUAACAUUGAGACGGAAAGUUAGAGGAGCUAUACAAUACCCUAACUUUCCUUCUUUCUAUCCAUAUGAUUAUGGCUAAAAUGACUAAAAUUAAUUUGCAAAUUGAUGAUCUACCGUGUACAUUUAUAGUAAUUACAUACAAUCAAAUUGAUGGCGAAAUAAAAUUAAUUUUAAAUUAUUUAUAUCUACAGUAAAUACCAACAGUAAACAACCUACUAACUACCUACUAACAGUCCCUAACUUUCCUUCUUCAGUUUACACUAGGCAAACACUGUAGCACUGUGACUUUCCUUCACAAUGUUAGAGGAUCCGGUUCCCAAUGCGUGGGGUACAAUUUAGUUCGUUAAACAUGAUAGGUAAUUUUCCCGCAACUUCUUGGACUUCAUUUACGAUACUAUCAUAUAAAAUGACCCAGGUUUAAAAAGAUUUCAUAAAAUGACCCAUUUCCAUGAUGCCCGGGUUCGGGGCGCCACGAUAAACAUCACGACGCCCUAAGGCCAUGGAAUCAGCGCUGACAUACCACAUCAGAAUUGCUUGGGACCAGGACGCCCGGGGUCAGGGCGCCAUGGGCAAUAGCAUGUCACCCCAGCCCAGGGCACCAUGCACAUGAACCAGGACGUAACUCAUGUAGUUGUACUAGCACUUAAUCAGCAGCUAUGCUCCUUACGGCCAGCUGGAUGGGUCAAGUCCAAGUGAUCACAUACUGAUGCUAUGCAGAGUAAGAUGAGACGAGACUGAAGUUUCUGAACAUGACUAGAAUAAUCUGUGUUGGUAGGUGUAGAAUAGAAUACUCUAGUAUAUUUUGUGAGCUGUUGUUAAUUAAUCAUUUAGAUGUGCAAUAACUUGGGCCGCGCUAUUUGUCACCCUGAGUGAGACUCCUCUCUUAUUACAUCACUACACUACAUUUUUACGCCCCGUAAAUUUUGUCCUACAUUGAAAGUGAAAAAGAGAACUUAAGAAAAUGUAUGUAAGUCGAAAACAACAUUUCACAUGAUGUAAAAUUAUGAACAUAAAAGUAUAGUGCAAAUAUACAUGUAAAUAUAAAAAUUUAUUAUUUAAUCACUUAUAUCUUACUUUUCUUAUACCGAUUUAUGUGUAGUGAAUCGAUAUGAUGUAAUUAUUCGUAGCCAAACAUAAAUUCUAAAAGUAACAACGUACAUUCUAAAAUAUAUUUUUCGUUUUUGAUGCACAACUCUCACUGUAAUGUUCACUUGUAGUAUGUCUACAGAAUAAGUGUAAAUAUAUAGGAAAUAAAACUAUUUUACAAGACAAAUACAAUGAUACCAUUUAUACAUGCUAAAUUCACAUAAUUUCGUAUAUAUUUGUGGUCAAAAUUAUGCGUUAAAGACCAUGCAAAGUCAAGCGCGCCUUAUAUUUUAUAUUUUGGGAAGGAGGGAGUACAAUAGAAGCUCGCCGUUGCACACAAUGAUUAUCAUCAUAUAUCAUCCCAUAUCUGGUUUAUCAUUUCACAUCCAACUUGACAUAUAUCACAAAGAUACUCUCUUCAUAAAAAAUAUAUAGGGCCUAAUACCUUUUUUGAGGUUGCCUCUGACCACGGUUUAGAGCAAUAAUAUAUGACAUGCAUGUUACACAAAGCAUACCGUCAAAUUUGUAUGUGAAAGGGGCUUCAAAUGAUAUAAUUUUAUAGCAUGCAUCUCAUGUAUUAUUAAUGUUAUGAAUGGUCAAAGGCUAUCUUGAAAAAUGUACUAGACCAUAUACAUCAGGAUGGAGGUGUUAGAGAAUAUUGUUCCGUUGUAAUCUCCAACUCCUUUCCUUCACAUGUUCUACUCAAACUCCUGUAAUCUUCCUUGUAUGCCAAGGCUUGGCUUUGGCCACAUCAAUAUAUACAAGACCGCGGCUCCCCUCGAGGGAGUAGGAACGCUUAUCAUCUUACAAGAGGGAGUACUAUUUUUAAUAUUUAUAUAUUAAUGCAAUUGUCGAUAUACUAAUCGAUUAACAUGAAAUAGGAUUGUAUAUCACAUUGGAUAACUUACAACAAAGGGUGUAGCAAAACCAGAUUGGACAAGAAACCAUCUAUAACCAUGUAUGCAUGCCUCGCCAAAACCUCGCAGGAAACAAAAAAAAAACGGAUUUGUCAUCAUAUGCCGAGGUAGGGACGUCUUAGGAUUGAUCACAUUCGAACGCGUUUGUGAUUGUGUGAGCAAUGAAGCCACUGUCGGCGAGGGUUGGAAGGAGAAUAAGAGGCAACAAGGAUUUUGACCUAUUGAGGUCUUGAGUCAAGGUUAAUAGGUUAGAGGCAUGUGGUAUUUUUUUUUCUCAGGUUGCAAUGCACGGGCUCUUUUGCUAAUUAUUCUUUAUCAAAACACCUGAUGGGAUCCUCACAAAGAAAAAAAACGCACAUGAUGGGAUGGUAUAAUAACAAUACUAAUGGACCCAACAGACAGCGUCGUCAUGCCCCUAUCUGGGAUGGUUGCAAUGCAUGCUGGAGCUUGACGUUGGUGAACCAAUGCCCCAACAGCAAGGAAGGGAAGUGCUCGGUGAGGAAGAGGCCAGCCGGCGGGUCAAUGAUCUUGUCGGCCCCGCGGUGGUAUAUAUGUCCAUUCCUCCAUCCCCUCGGAUACCGCCAGGCUCGUGAUGUCGUUGCUCAGCGCCGCCACCUUCUUAUUGACAUAAACCACAGCGGCGCCUGCCGAGGCCGCAACGGAGCGUACUCGACCGACCACCUCAGCGAUUGAGACCGCAAUGGUGGGGUCCUUGCAGAGCUCGAGGAGGGUCCGUGGCCCAUGCCGGCGACACAACUCCCGGAUGGUGCUGACGAUGUGCUGGAAGCUGCCGAUGAUGGGGGGAAUCCAUGGUCCAGGAGGUAGCUGCGGCUUUCUUGGGUUGUUGCUCCGGCCGCCGGCGAACUUGAGAAACAAAAGAUAUAAUAGGAUGGAUAGAGCUAUGAAACAUAAUAUAGCCUCCAUGGCACACAUGCAGCUAGCUUAUGCUCAAAUUCGUUGCUCAGCCGAGUGAUACAUAAUAUAGUGAGCUAGCAUGCGCACAUAUAGGAGGCAAGGUAUAGACGGAACAUGCGUGGAACAUAGCCGAGAGAGACCUUUCAAUGGGUAGAAGCCAUAGCCGCCGGCCAUGAGUGUCAGCACAUACGUAUAAUGUAAGGUACAUACGGGGAUCAUGAGUGGAAGCCAUAGCCCGUGGUUGGUUCGUAGAGAAAGAAGGAAAAUGAUAGCAGCCUGCUGUCGGUGCGCUCCCAUGGAUCUUAGCAGCCGGAAAAGAUGGUAGCUCACAAAGCCGAGAGGCCUUUGAAUAUGUUUCCACGUCCUUAGUCGUGGGAAACUUUGACCGCACAACUGGCUAGUAACCAGAUUAGUUCUAUAUAUAUAGCUUGUUCCACUAAUGAAAGUGCUCCGUUCCAUUAGAUCUCACACAUGUCUUGAUACGGGGUACAAUAUUAUAGGAACCUCCAACACACACAUGUCCCCACAACCUCACCUUCCUAUGACGGUAUAACAUCUGAGUCCGAACCGAACAUGGUGUGUGUGUGUGUGUGCGCGUUCAGGGGCGUGAGCGUAUGCGCGUAUAUAUGAGCGCUUUAGUAUACUAUGUUAAAAAAAAGAUGAAUCUCACUAAUUUAUUUGUACAUGCAUGCAUGUCACAUUAAAAAAUGAAUGAUCACCUCAACAUGCAACCUUGUAUGCAAAACACCCACUGCCACAUGCAACCAUGCAUGAGAAAAUAUGUAUAAUUCUACUUAUAUUGAACAAAUAUUUUUCAACUAUACAUAAUAAAAUAUAAUAAGUCGUGUGUAUUUUUUUAAUUCUGAUUCACAUGUUAUUAAUCAAAAUAUUCAUAUUCCACACUAUCAAAUCUCACUGAAAUAUAUUGCAACCGAUUUCUCCAGCAAUGCGCGUGCUAUCACCUGGUAUUCAUUAACAUGGCAAGUCAAUUUCCCGCAAUCACCAAUGAUUUCAGUUAUAGAUAAUAUAAUUCCUACUUACGCGAACAGAGAAAGUUAAAACCCAAUCCUAUAUGCGGUCUAUAGUAGGGGAAAAGUGAGUCGAUCGCCCAUUGACAAACAAAACAUGAAUCAUUUCACAAUGCUUGUUGUCGGUUCUUAUUUACUUUCUCGGUUUUUGUAAUUUUUUAGGUUUUUGCUUUUCCUAGGUUUCACUUUCCAAUUUCUAGUUUCCCGCUUUUUCCUAUUUCCUAAUUCCUUCAUCUCAUAUUAAUUGACGCUCAAAUGGAUGUAUCUAAACAUAUUUCAGUGCUAGAUACGUCCUUUUGAGGGUCAAUUAUUAUGGUAUGAAAGGAAUGUUUUACCCUUUUAAGUUUCUUUUGAAAUUCCAUUUUAUUUAUAUAUUUGGUUUUAAAUAUAUAAAUAAAUUGCCGAUAUCAUGGGCAUUAUUUAUAACAUGUGAACACUUUCGACCUAUGGCCAAACAUUCUUUACAGAAAUGGAAUUUUUGUAAUAUAAAUGACCAUUUAUUAAGGGAUGUGAACAUUUUUUUAUAAUUACACAACCAUAUUGAAAAAAAUACGUGAACACUUUAUUAAUUAGAUGAACAUUUUUUAAAUGCAUGAACACUUCUAGUUACAAGUAUAUAUAUAUUUUAAAUAUGGGAAUACUUUGUUGUAGAUUCAUGAUUUUUUUUAAAGCCUAAAAUACUUUUUAAAAUGAAACAAAGUUUUCUUAUAAUAUGACAAAAAUCGUAAAAACUAUUUUGACUUCCUCAAUUCGAUACCGAAUGCUAAAAAUGUAAAUAUAUAAUAUAUAUCUCUGUUUUUUUUCAUAUGCACAUGUUGUUGGCUCCCUUUUUGCACGAACCUCCAGGUUUUUUAAACCUUGGUUCUCUUUUUGUACAAACGUGCAAGUUUUUUAGCCUCAGAUGUGUCAAGCCAGGUGGUAUCGUAUCAACAUCGAUGUGCUAAUGGGCAUAUGAGCAGCACGGGUGCUAACGCCCGCAAUAAGUGAUGUAUAGUUUUUCCCCGGUUAGAGUAGUUUAAUUCUGUAUGUCAAUAUCUGGAUUUGUGAUUGGCAUGGCCAAUCCUAUUAGACGUCCGCAAAUUGAGCUGGCUUGGUCUUUGCUGUUUCCUUCGAGUUGCUGCUCCAGCGUUUUGUUUUUUGCUUUUGUGCUGAAGUUUUUUUUCCUGUUUUUUCCGCGGUUUCUUUCAUUGUGCUUCCAUUGUUUUUGUUGGUUUCCUAUUGUGGGUUUUGUUCCAGAUUUUUCGUGCUGUUUCAUUUAGCAUCACUGCUGCAAGUUUUUCUGAGUAUUUUGUUGUUGUUUUUCUUUUCCGCCUUUUUGGUUAUCUAUAUCGGUUUCUUAACUUUUUCUUUUUAAAAUAAAAGAUGGACAUUUUUAAUCACAGUGCACAUUUUAUUUUAACAUUGUAGACAUUAAUUUAAUAAAAAGUGAACAUUUUUUAUUACAGGAAGACAUUUUUUACAUGGUGAUCGAUUUUUAAUUGCACCACGAACAUUUGUUAAGAACGGUGAAACAAUUUUUUAUACACAGUGGAUAAUUUUUAAUACAUGGCAAAGAUUUUUUAAAUAUGUGCUGAACAUUUAUUGGAAGACACAAUGAACUAUUUACUAUGCUUAAAUAAUUCUAGAAAAACCAUGGCAAGAAAACCACAAAAAAAAUGACCAACACAUGAAUGUACCACCAUCUCUCAUAAAAGAUAGUGAGGCUGACACUGGGAAGCCACAUCAACCAGAACUGGGCCCUCGGCCCAUCAUUGCUAAAGAGUGCGCCACCUCUCAUAUAUGACGUUAAUGAGCGUUACAUAGGAGGUCUCAUAAAAAGUGGUAUAUUGGCUGCUUCAAGAUAA
rnacentral:lncRNA from 1 species